CUUUGUGUCUGCAGCCACUUUUGGUGCUUGUAGGUUCCUAGGAGUCCCACUUGAGUCAGGGAAGAUCCUAUCUGCACUCGCAACAUUCAGGAUUCUUCAGGAGCCAAUCUACAACCUUCCUGACACAAUCUCAAUGAUAGCUCAAACAAAGGUGUCACUUGAUCGAAUUGCUGCCUUCCUCCGGCUCGAUGACUUGCAGCCAGGUGCUAUAGAGAAGCUACCCAGUGGUAGUUCCGAUACAGCGAUUGAGAUUGCUGAUGGGAACUUCUCUUGGGAUAUGUCAUCCCCUACUGCAACACUAAAAGAUAUAAACUUGAAAGUUUCCCAUGGCAUGAGUGUUGCUGUUUGUGGUACGGUCGGCUCUGGCAAGUCAAGUUUACUUUCCUGUCUUUUGGGAGAGUUCCCAAAGAUAUCUGGAACUCUUAAGUUGUGUGGUACAACAGCCUAUGUUGCUCAGUCACCUUGGAUACAAAGUGGCAAGAUUGUAGACAACAUAUUGUUCGGUAAGGAAAUGGACAGAGACAAGUAUGACGAAGUGCUUGAAGCUUGUACCCUCAAGAAGGAUCUUGAAAUUCUCCCUUUCGGUGAUCAGACUGUUAUAGGCGAGAGGGGAAUCAAUCUGAGUGGUGGACAAAAGCAAAGAAUACAGAUUGCUCGUGCUCUAUACCAAGAUGCCGAUAUCUAUCUGUUUGAUGAUCCUUUCAGCGCAGUGGAUGCUCACACCGGAUCUCAUUUAUUUAAGGUAAUGUCUUCCUAUGAUCAUAUGGCAUGUAUUUUAAGAGUUCCUAUAGUUAAUUUAGUUGAAAUAGUUAUUUAUGAGCUCUGAGUAUCUUGUUUAAUCUUUUGAAUGGCAGGAGGUUUUACUAAAGAAUUUGAGAUCAAAAACAGUGAUUUAUGUCACUCAUCAAGUUGAGUUUUUACCAGCUGCUGACUUAAUUUUGGUGAGCUAUUAUUUACAUUAUUUUCAGUGAUUUUCAUCAUAUGUCUUAGAUUCAAGAAAUAAUUUAUUAACUGGAUUCAACUUGUAUUUACAUAUCUGCUAGGUGAUGAAAGAUGGGAGGAUUGUUCAAGCUGGAAAGUAUAAUGAUAUUCUCAAUUCAGGUACUGAUUUUAUGGAACUUGUGGGUGCACAUAAGAAAGCUUUGUCGGCCCUUGAUACUGUUGAAGCAAGUUCGGUUUCGGAACGAACUACCAGUGAAGGAGAAUGUGAUAUAGGUACUACUAAUGGGAAAGUGCAGAAAGAAGAAAACCAAGGUAACGAAAGCGGUAAAGUAGAUGAUGUCGGACCAAAAGGACAGCUUGUUCAAGAAGAAGAACGAGAGAAAGGACAAGUCGGGUUUUCGGUCUACUGGAAGUACAUCACAACAGCAUAUGGAGGAGCUCUUGUGCCUUUAAUAUUGCUUGCUCAGAUUCUCUUUGAGAUUUUUCAAAUAGGCAGCAACUAUUGGAUGGCUUGGGGAUCACCGAUGUCAGCAGACAUAAAGCCUCCUGUUGGGAGCUUUACACUAAUCAUGGUCUAUUUGGCUUUGGCCAUUGCAAGUGCCAUUUGUGUCUUUGCCAGAUCCAUGCUUCUUGGUACAGCUGGAUACAAAACAGCCACUCUUCUCUUUAAAAAGAUGCAUCUUUGCAUUUUCCGCGCUCCUAUGUCUUUCUUCGAUUCUACACCGAGUGGAAGAAUCCUCAACAGAGUAAGCAUCUAAUGUUUUUCCUGUAUGGAUACAAAAGAUUCAAUUUAUCUUCUUGUUUGUUGGCCUUUUUCCCCUAGUUUGUAUAGUAUUGUAAACUUUUUUGCUGCCUCUUAUAGGCUUCUACAGAUCAACGUGCAGUAGAUAUGGACAUUGCGCACCAAGUCGCCACAUUUGCUUUCUCAGUUAUCCAGCUACUUGGAAUCAUUUCAGUCAUGUCUCAAGUUGCUUGGCAGAUCUUUAUCAUUUUUAUUCCAGUGAUUGCUACCUGCAUUUGGUAUCAGGUAACUCUUGCCGAAUUGUGGCUAUGCAAUGCAUGAAAUCAUGAACUUAUUACAAUGCAGCAACAUAUCGAAAAUCUCGAAUUUUCUAAUUUGUAAAACUCAUUUAAUCAUUGCCUUAUUGCUGAACAAAGGAAUGCUCAUAAACUUGUAAUCUCGCAGCAAUAUUACAUAUCUUCUGCACGAGAACUUUCGCGGCUGGUUGGGGUAUGCCAAGCUCCAGUAAUACAGAAUUUUGCUGAAACAAUUUUAGGAGCAACAACUAUAAGGAGCUUUGAUCAAGAAAAAAGGUUCCAAGACACAAACAUGGCACUGACCGACUCGUAUUCUCGUCCAAAAUUUUAUGUUGCUGGUGCAAUGGAAUGGCUGUGCUUCCGCCUGGACUUAUUGUCUUCUGUUACUUUUGCCUUCUCUUUAUUCAUUUUAAUCUCUUUACCGGAGGGAGUUAUUGAUCCGGGUAAGUAAAUGCAGAUUCAUAUUGGCACCUUUGUUGACUACUAGAUAACAAAUGUUCUAGGAGAAUGAUUUGAUGCGUUUUUCGUUCGUUUAGCUAUUGCCGGGUUAGCGGUGACGUAUGGACUCAAUCUAAAUAUAUUGCAAGCUUGGGUGGUAUGGACUAUGUGCAAUAUGGAGAAUAAAAUUAUAUCUGUUGAGAGAAUACUUCAAUACUGUAGUAUUCCUAGUGAGCCUGCCCUUGUGGUGGAAACGAAUCGCCCAGACCAUUGUUGGCCGUACCACGGAGAAGUUCAUAUUCGUGAUCUGCAGGUAAGGCAGUGUUGUGGCGUUCUAUGAUUCUGUUUCCAAUGCAUUCGCCGUAUUAAAUAAACGAUGAUGGUCUCGAUGUAGGUACGAUAUGCUCCGCACAUGCCACUUGUGUUGCGAGGCCUGACCUGCACAUUUCCUGGAGGGUUGAAAACCGGUAUUGUAGGGAGAACAGGCAGUGGUAAAUCAACUCUCAUACAAACACUUUUCCGGACCGUUGAACCUGCAGCAGGGCAGAUCUUAAUCGAUGGUGUAAACAUCUCAUCGCUCGGGUUGCAUGAUUUGCGUUCACGACUCAGCAUCAUCCCUCAAGAGCCUACCAUGUUCGAAGGGACUAUACGAAGCAACUUGGACCCUCUUGAAGAAUACACAGAUGAACAGAUUUGGGAGGUAGGUUCAUUUUAGUAAAACACUGUCUUUUAUGAUCUGUAAUCCAAGUCUAACAUCCAUCAUUAUUGUGUUUUAAAGGCAUUGGAUAAAUGCCAACUCGGGGAUAGAGUUCGAAACAAGGCCGGCCAGCUCGAUUCUUCAGGUUCGAUCCUUCUGUCUUAAAACACAAAUGAGUUUGUCUUCUUUUGCAUAAGUUAUACUUUGUAUGAUUAUUGUUGUGCAGUUAGUGAGAAUGGAGAGAAUUGGAGCAUGGGGCAAAGGCAGUUGGUGUGCCUUGGGCGUGUACUAUUGAAGAAAAGUAAGAUCUUAGUGCUCGAUGAAGCGACCGCAUCGGUGGAUACAGCCACCGACAACCUAAUACAGACGACGUUAAGGGAGCACUUCUCCGAUUGUACGGUCAUAACAAUCGCUCACCGAACAACUUCGGUUCUGGAUAGCGACAUGGUUCUGCUUUUAAGUCAUGGUUAGUAGUACAGUAAGGUAUGCUCAUUAAGAUGGAUUCUUUGAAGUUCAUUUCAUUUGAAUAGAAAAAAAAACACAUUUGUUUUUGCAGGACUUAUAGAAGAAUAUGAUAGUCCAUCAAGUUUGCUGGAAAACAAGUCUUCAUCAUUUGCACAGCUUGUAGCAGAGUACACUGUGAGAUCAAAUUCUAGUUUUUGAUAGAAACUGGAUUGAGUUAGAUGAUGAAAAUUCCGGAGUGUUAAUAAUUAGUAAUGUUUUAUGUUGCUAGAAAUAUUCGUAUCUGUGUUACAUACUUAUAUCAAACACGUGUAUGAAGAUAUAACUUUCAAAAAUAUUCUAAAUUUAAAGAGAAACUUAUAAAAAAAAAGGUAACAUUAUUCGUGUUAAAUGCAUAUGUAUACUUGAUAUUCACAUCCAAAUCCGAAUAAAUUUAAAAUGUCUAGCUUUAAUGUUCAAUAAAUUCAAAUGAUAAUCAUUUUCUUUACUUUUCUUUCCUUUCCCCUUGUUUACUCUAAUCUAAACAUAAAGUUACUUAAUAUGAUAUAUAAAAAGAUUGUGAUAUAGUAAAACUUUGUACAUAAAUUCUCAAGUUUAGUGGUUUUUAUCUUUUUAUUAAGAUUUAAAUGUAAAACUGACCUUUAAAUUAUAAUACUUUUCCCACUUAAAUAUUUAAAGUUUUUUUUGUUAAAAGUGAUACCUAAACUAUUAAUUCCGUCUCAUUUUACUCUCAAAACACAAUACUAAUCAAUAAAAACAUGACAUGUAGUACAUUCUUAUCUAAACGUCGACAUACAUUUUUAAAAAAAAAUAAAUGAGAUAAAAAAUUGAUAAUUUAAAUACUAUUUUUGAGAAAAAUAAAUAAAUAUUUAACUAAAAAAAUAGUACAAUUGAAUGACACUUAAAAUUGCGUCUAUCAUGUUAUCACUUAUUUGUGAUUUCUAAUUGGAUUAUCAAAUCACAUAAAAUUAUAUAUCACUUAUAUCUAAUUGAAUAUUUAUUUAAUUCAAUCACACGAAUUAUUUAAAAAUUUUUAGACAAUUUGACUUGACUCAAUUAAAUAUUUAUCUUUUAUUUUUGACCGUAGAACGAGUUUGAUAUGAACCCUAAUAUGUGAAGCUGGAAGAUGGGUUUUGUUUACAUGAUAUGUAUCCUUCUAGUGGAGUGAUUAAGAAGAUGAGCACAAUAAUACGAUCAAUAAAGUAGAUGACGACACAUUAUUUAAAAUGAAGUUAAAUGGAUUUAGUUUUAUUAAUUUUAGAUAAUAUAUAUUAUCACAUGAUUUACUAAUGUUAUACAUCAUUGUUUCAAAUAUUAAGACUUAAUUAAAACUUCAAUUUCCAAUGCAUUAUAAUUCUUUUAUAUAUUAUUAUAUGUAAAUUUUGAUUUUGUUGGCGUGAAAUUUUAAAUUUAAUAUUUAUAGGUUAAAUUUAUGUAAUUUAAUAAUCAUCUUAUUUAAUAAUACAUGGACUAAAUUAAUCUAUUAAUAGAAGGUAAAAUUUGAUUAAGUCCCUAUAAUGGAGGGUGCUUUUGGCAUAGCGGGCCCCCAAUGGGAGGCCCACACAACAGGCUAUUAGCUCAGUCAUAAAGCGCGCCCCUGAUAAUUAAUGCAUCAUUGUGCCAAGGCUAUAAGGGCUCUCAGCCACAUGGAUAGUUCAAUGUGCUCAUCAGCACCUGACCCUGAGAUGUGGAUCAUCCAAAACACAUUAGCAUGGCGUACUUCUCCUAUUCGAACUGGGGUUUGAAACCAAACUUCUCCUCAGGAGGAUAUAUUGGGCGAUUCAAGUGAGAUCCAAUGUAGAUCCAACUUUCUAUUCACUCAUGGGAUUUAGGCGGUCCCGGGGACCAUUUAAGUGCAUUCACCUUUUUUUUUCCUCUAUUUGAGCUCUAAAACUUGAAUCAAAUGAAAGUUUUUAUACGUUAAUCAAAUGCUUAAAGAUAUAUAUAUAUUUAAAAAUCAGCUUAAUAACAUUAUCACGUUGAACUAAUUAACAACAUUAUAAAAGAUUAUCAAAUCCGGAAUUAUUCACAACCUUGACCUAUUAUUAUAUGAUUAAUUGAUCUCCAACUUGAAGUUUAAUAUGUGUCAAUCCUCCUGCAGGACAUCUCUGGAACAGGAAGUGAGACAUCAUGCAACAACAUUAGACUGGGCCAUGUCUGAAAUACUGAAAAACUCUCAUGUAAUGAAAAUGGCAAAGUAACUAAAGCAAGGAUCCAUGUACUGAAAUAGUGAAAGAAACCUUGAGGCUACACCCACCUGUUCCUUUGAACAUGAGACAAAACAUUGAGAACUGUGUGAUCAAUGGCUAUGGCAUCCCUUUCAAAGACCAAGGUCCUUGUUGCUGGGGAAAAGGUGAAGUUAUUACGUGCAUAUAUUGAAGAUUCGAUCAUAUGUUGUAUUGGAAAAUAUUAGAAUAUAAAAUUUGAUAAUGAGAUCUAACAUGAGUUGCAAUUGCGAGAGGUUAUGCAUAGUAAAUUAUGAUCCAAAAGGUUGGUAUGAAAUUGGGACGAAUUAAUCAACUCGAUUUGGAAUAUAGUAUGCUAUAAUGUUAUAUUCUUGAACUAGUUUAUGGAACUUAUUUUAAUGAGCUUAAGCGGAAUAAAUGAUGUUCUUGGUAGUAUGCUUUGCAUAGGUGUAAUUAUUGAGUGUUUUCAUUAACUUAUUUGUGUUGAUACUAAAUUUGUAGAAAUACUGUUAAGUUGAUUACUCAGCGUACGAUUUGUUUUCCAUGCGCAAGUUAGAAUAUAUUAAAGAUCCUAAAUUUCGGUUUCAGUAUCCAGAGAACAUCCUAAACUCAACAAUGUUGAUGUAUUUACGUUUUUGAAUAGUUUGGCAUGUACCUAUCUAGUUAAGUCAUUGCUAGUAUAUCUUUAUAUUUAUAUGAACUUGAGUAUCAAAUUAGUAUUUAUUGAAUUUAAUAAAUAGUGUUAUUAUAUGCUCAUAAGUAAGUUAUUUGAAAUGUGAUGUGUAUUCGUAUCUAAAUUAAUUGUAGUUUUCCUGACAACGAAUGUGACACAUUGUAGCUCAGACUCGACGAUCGGGUCGAGUAUGAAAUGUUACACAAAGAGUACAAAAACUUGAAUUGUAUUUUAAUAUUUACUUUAUAAUUUGACUAAAAAAUAAUUAAUAAUUAACCUAACACGAAGCACUAUAAAAUACAUACUAGUUAGUAUUAAGGGUUUUUCACCGGGGUAAUACAAAAAAUAAUAAUUACAAAAAUGGGGCAUAUUGUAGAUUAUUUAUGAGAAUGAUGUACAAUAAAAUUAGGUGCCUCCUAGCACCACCUAUAAAAAAUAAAAAUUUAAUAAAAAUAAAUAAAAAUAAUAAAUUAAAAAACAAUAUUUUAAUCUAAAAAAUGGUGACCUAAAUGUUAGUCCAUUUUAAUUCAUCGUAAUUUGAUCUAUGUUUUCAAAUUUAAAAAUUUAGUUAAAUUAUUUAAUAAUAAAUUAUUGAGUUGAUUUUAUUAAUUCAUUGUAUAUGGAUUUAAUAAACCGUUGGUCUUGUAGUAAGUAAUUUGAUGAUCAAGUAUAAUGGUAGUAAAUAAUUUUGCCUAACUUUUUAAAUUCGAAAACAUAAGAAGAUCAAAUUAUAAUAAAUUAAAAUACAUGGACUAACUUUUAAUUUCUAUAAAAUAGAGGUAUGAAAUUCAAAAUUAUACUACAAUCACCCCAAAUUUAAAAAAUAAAAAGUUAGCACAUUGGGUCACUUUUUUAGAUUAAAAUAUUAUUUUUUAUAUUUAAAUAAAAUAUUUUAUAGCUAAUACCACUUGACACAUAACAAUAUUUAAUUUUACUAUAAAAUCUAUUAUUCUCGUAAUUAAUAUGCAACAUGCACAUUUUCGUAAUUAAAUUUUUUUAUUAAAGACAAUUUUCCAGUGUAAGCCCAUUUUUUUAUUCAUGUGUUUACCCCUUGGAAGACAAGUGUCUGACUGCAGAAUCCCAAGUUUUGCAUUGCAUGGUGUGCUGAGUUCCUGACGACCAUGUUUUUGGCCUUUUCUCUCUUUUUCUUUUUUAAUUACAAAAAUAAAAUAAAACUCUAACAAUAAUACAAUUAGUGCGAUUUAAAUUUAAAUUAUACGAAAAAUAAAUAUUCUGACAAUCAGAUCAACACACAAAAUUUGACUUUUUUUUGUUCUUUGCUCACCCUCCACCAAGUGACAUAUAAUAUGAAUACGAGUCAACAACAUAAACAAUCGUUGAAAAGUGUUCAAUUUAGUCCUCAAAGUAUGACUUGUAUUUCAAAUUCAUCUCCAAAGUUUAAAUUGUAUUAAUUAAGUCACAAAAAUAUCAAUAUCAUAUCUAUUAAAUUAUUCCAUUAAGUCAGUCAUUAACCUAAACAUUAAAGGUAGCUCAAAUCUAGCAGUAGUAUAUUAAAACCCCAUAGGUCAAAUUAUAAAACCUUGAAUCUAUAUAUUUAUAAAAAGGAAUUCUCUUAAAUUUUAUUGAUGUUUUUUUUAAAAAAAAUAUUAGAUGUAAGCUAUUCAUGCUAAAAUUAUAUAUAUGCAUUUAAAAUUUUAUAAAAAUAUUUAAAAUACAUUUCAUGUUAUAUCUGAAUCAAUAUUUAUUAUUUAAAGUGAUGGCUACACCCGCAAAUGAAUCUUAAUGACAUAAUACUAAUAAUUUGAGAAUACAAUAAUUAUUUGAAAUAUAGGGAUGAAUUUAAAAUUUGAUCAAUAAAUUAGGAAUAUUAGUUGAAACUUGAAAUUAAGUCCUUCGUCCCUCGUUCCUGCUAAUUUAGUAUUUUGUUAGUUCUGGAAAACUGACACUAAAGUAAAAAAAGACUUUGAUAAUUAAUCCUAUAUUUUAUGUUUUCAGAGUAAAAAAUCACGUCAGUGCGUUUCCCUUCUGCUCUCUCCGCACCCAAUCUUGCUCACCACGCUUUUCUCUCCUCCAAGUAUUUUUCUUGGUCUUUCUUUUUUAGUCUCAUUUGUAUAUAAACACAAAGCCAGAAGCCUUCAAACACUUGAAACCAAUCAAAACUUUUAUCCAAACACACAAAACCCAAGUUUUUUCUUCAGCCAAAGCUCCAAAAAAAAUGGAACUUUUUGCUUCACAAUCAUCUUUACUAAUGAGUUCAGCUACUAGUUUUGAUUUUCUACUAAUACCCACUUUUCUUGAUGGGUUUUCUGCUUCAUUACACUUAGUUUUGUUGCUUUUAUUGUUAAUCUUGUGGGUGGUUAAAAAAGUUAGUAGGGAAGGUUCAAAGGAAAGACAGGUUUUAUGGUAUAAGCAAACAUUAGCUUGUUGUUUUGUUGUUUCAGUUUCUAAUGUUGUCUUGUGCUUGUUAAGUUAUUUUUAUACGAAUGGUUGGUCAGAGGAUAAGUGAGUGAGUCUUAUUGAUUAUGCAUUGAAAGCACGUGCUUGGGGUGCAUGUGCAACAUGUGUUUACAUGCAUUGUCAACUCUCCAGUCCUGGUGAACAAAAGAGGUUCCCUGUUGUGUUGAGAAUUUGGUGGGGUUUUAACUUUUCAAUUUCAUGUUAUUGUCUUGUUAUAGACAUUGUUCUCAUCAAAAAACAUGUUUCUUUCCCAAGCCAGUAUUUAGUAUCUGAUGUCUUAUCUGUUGUUACUGGUUUGUUUCUAUGUAUUGUUGGGUUCUUUUUAAGAAAUGAGGGUGUUAAAUUAAUAUCUCAUAUAUUGAGAGAUCUAUUCUUUUUAGAGAAAUUUUCUAAGUGUUCGAACCCCUCGAUAGGUUGAUAUUGUUCUUGAAUUAAGGUUUUGUGUCUCGACCAUGAAAAAAGCUCAAGUCGAAAAUGAGAUUCAUAGAGCGAGAGCACCUUAUUGAAUUAUGCAGAGAUGAUAGCAUAUGUGUCCUUAAAUGCCAAGGGUUCAAACUGUCCAUUUUUCAUAUUUUCAAUAUGUACAUACAUUUAAAUUUUUUUUUUUUUUACAUAAUGAUGCCACGUGAUAUUUAAUGUCUACAAAAAAAUAGACUAAAAAAAUAUAAGACAGGCACACUUUAGAAACCAAAUUGGAAAUUCGAGUAUACUUUAAUACCAAAUUUGGACAAAAAAAUUUAGAUACCAAAAUAAGAAAACAGGUAUACUUUAAAAGUCAAACCGUGAAUUAAACCAAUAAAGUUGGCUUUUUAUUUCAUUAUGCAAAGGACUGUGAGGCUUUCAUUUGGAAGCCAAGGCAUCGUAAGUAGACUGUCAACUUUUAAUCAAAUUUUUUAACUGCUAUGCUACUUUUUAAGGCACCAUUUGGACGAAGAAACAGUAAAUCACAAGGCAAUGCUGUUGGUUGAUAAGUCAUUCAUUUGCACAUAAAAGAGCCAAGACCAAGAGGAAUAUUUUCUGCUUAGGCAGAAAUAGAACAUUAUGUUUCUUGUUUCUACCAUUUAAUAACACCUAACUUCACAGUUUCUUUGUUUGUCAGUGAAAUGAGGCUACUGAAUGGCAAAAUUAAUCAAGUGCAAGCUCUCUCUUGGAGCCUUUAUGCAUUAUGAGCUCUAAAUCUGAUCAGUCAUUUUGGGUUUUUCCCCUAAGAGACCAAAAUCAUCAGACAAAAGGACUUGGUGGGUUGCAUCAGUACCUGAUGUUGUUUAUGCCUAACUGUCGAAUUCUCUAAUGAAGAGGGGUAAGGUAAUGCAUGUAAAGAGGUACAGUGGAAAUGUACUGCAGCCAUAGGUAUGCAUUUUUCUGCAUUCUGUUAAAUCAUAUUCUCUGUUAAAAAAAAUUGGAAUAUAUAAGCUUGUUAUCAAUGUCAAUCCUUUUAAGCUUGUGUUAUUUUUCAUGAUCAUAUUUCAUUUUAUCUACUACAUAAACGUUAUCUUUAGUUGUUUCAUUUGCCGCAGGUCUUGACUUGAAUUUCACAAUCAUGUAUUAUUCUUUUUUCCUCUGUCAUUUCAUUAGUAUUUGACUUAAAUUUAUCACUUGUAUUUUUAGAGCAAAUUUAUCACAUGCUUUUUGUCAUAAAAUUCAUGCUAGUUUGCAUGUUAUUCACAUAAUUGGAUUGAGAACAGGAUCUUGAUAUGGAAUUACAGCAUGUAUGUUAUUUAAUCAGAUAUCCGUAUGCAGCUGUUGAUUAAAGGUUAGUUGAGUUAAGCUUGCAACUUCAAAAUAGCUCGUGGACCUACGCUCCCAACUGAUAUUAUAAAGGCUCACCGGUUUAAGAUCGCAGCCUUCAAAACAGCUCGCAAACUUACAUUCCCAACUGAUAUUAUAAAGGCUCACCAGUUUAAGAUCACAGCCUCCAAAACAGUUCACGGACCUAUGCUCCCAGCUAAUAUUAUAAAAGCUCACUGGUUUAAGAUCGCAACCUCCAAAACAACACUCCUAGUUGAUAUUAUAAAGACUCGCCGGUCUAAGAUCGCAGCCUCCAAAACAACUCGCGGACCUACGUUCCCAAUUGAUAUUAUAAAGGCUCGCUGGUUUAAGCCUCCAAAACAGCUCACGGACCUACGUUCCUAGCUAAUAUUAUAAAGGCUAACCGGUUUAAGAUCGUAACCUCUAAAGUAGCUCGCAAACCUGCGUUCUUAGCUGAUAUUAUAAAGGUUUAGUUGAUUUAGGAUCGCAGCCUCCGAACAGUUCACUGAUUUAAAAUCACAACUGAUAUCGAACAAUUUUCUUUGAGUCCGCUGAUUUACAAAUUCUUACGGGAAAUACAGUUUGCGGUAUUCUGCAUUACAAUUUUUGACUCUUGUUCCGCACUAUCGGACAACAAAAUUUGUUCAAUAAGGUUUCAAGUUAAAACUUAUAUAGUAAGCCCCAAAUUACGCACAUCAUAAGUGUAAACUUGUUUGAGAAGAGUCACUUUAUAACUCUUCUUCGACAAGAUGAGGGAUAAAUUAUUAUAUUAAUAAUAAAAAGAACUAGACCCGAAAUCCAACUCGAUUACCUGACCUAUAUAAUAAAAUUCUAAGGCACGGUACUAAGGGGGGCUUCCUCUUCCUGUCUGCUCCUGGUUCUCUACUCUUAGAGAAUUAACCACUCAACCCUAUCUAUUUUCACAAUAGUUGAUCCAGUGCAUCAACACCUUUUGCUAAAUAAAUUAUCACUUAAAAUUGCGUCUAUCAUGUUAUCAAUUAUUUGUGAUUUAUUAUCGAAUCACAUAAAGUUGCAUAUGACUUACUUUAUUACGCAUAUAUUUAUUUGAAUAUUUAACUCAAUCACAUAAAUUAUAUGAAAUUUUUUAAUCGCAUUGAUUUGACUUGAACGGAUACUUAUCUUUUAUUUUUUAUACUUUAGAUCGAGUUCAAUAUGAACCCUAAUAUGUGAAGCUGGAAGGUGAGUCUUGUUUACCUGAUAUAUGUAUCCUUCCAGUGGAGUGAUUAAGAAGAUGAGCACAACGACAGGGUCCUUGAGAACAUGGUUAAUGAGCAUAAAAAGAAAAAAAGAUGAAGAUGAAGAAUGCUACAGGCAACGACAAAUAAGAUUUGAUUGAUAUUUUACUUAAGAUUUAGCAAUAACGAGAUAUUGAGUUUUCAAUGGAGAAUGAUAACAUAAAAGCAAUCAUUCGAGUUAAUCAGAUUUAUGUUUGAUAUAUUGAUCACAUAUAAUUAUAUAUACGAUUAAUAAAUCGAAUGAUGACACAUCAUUUGAAAUGAAAAAAAUAAAUUUAAUUUUACUAAUUUUAAAUGAUAUAUUUUCAUUUGAUAUACUGACAGUAUAAAUUAUCGUUUCAAAUAUUAACAUUCAAUUUCAAUUUCAAUUUCCAAUUCAUUAUAAUUUUAUUAUUAUAGGUCAAAUUUAAUUUUGAUGUUUAUUUUUUUACAUAAUUUAAUAAUCAUCCUAUUUUAUAAUAUUAUUAACUAGAAUUAUUUUUAUUUACCAUAUAAAAAAUGUCUUGAAAAUUAUUUUUUCAAUUAUAAUUAAAUUCCAAACAAAAGAUUUUAUCUACAGAACAAUAAAAAAUUUAAAAAAUAUUAAUUCUGUUAAAUAGUAAAUGUUAACUUAUUCCAAUUUAAUCUUAUUUAAUUAUUUUAAUAAUAUAUGGACUAAAUUAAUUCAUUUCAUAAUAAAAGGUCGAAUUUGAUUAAAUUCUUAUAAUAGAGGGACCAAGUACAUUCACAUUCUUUCCCCUCUAUUCGAGCCCUGUUAAAAUAAAUGAAACUUCAAUCAAAUUAAAGUUUUUAUACUAUAAUCAAAUGCUUUAAAAUAAUUGCCUUGACAUUUUAAUAAAAUAGUUAAUAAUAUUAUGAGUUUAAACUAAUUAAUAACAUUAUAAAAUAUUAUGAAAUUAAAAUUAAAUCCGGAAUUAAUCACAACCUUGACCUAUUAUUAUAUAAUUAAUUGAUCUCCAAACUUGAAGUUUAAUGACAUUUUUGGAAUAGGGGUGAGUAAAAUUCUAAAAAAUCAAAAAAAAUUAAAUCUCAAAUUAAUCGAAUCGAAUUAUUCGAAUUAUUUGAGUUUCGAGUUCAAAUCAAAUUAAAUUUUACAAUUUGAAUUACAUAAAUAAUUCGAAUAACAUAUUGGUAUAAAUACUUUUUGGUCCCUAUCAAGCUUGAAAAUGAGCAAAUUGAUCUCUCUCAACAAAAAUUGCAAAAAAAUAAAUCAAAAUAAUUUUCAAAAUUUUUAAAUAUUUAUAAAAAUUUCAAAAUAUAUAUAAUAUAUAAAGAAAGUUAAAAAUUAAAAAUUUUCUAGAAUAAUAAUUUUAAGAUCUAAAUAAGUUAAUUAAUUAUUCAAAUUUAUCAUACUAAAAUAUUUUAUUAUUAUUUUGCUUUGAAUUUUUUUUAAAUAUUUAUUGUUUCAAAUUUAUGUGCUCUAACAUAAAAUUAGUUAUACUAUAAUAAGAUUUUAAUUUAACAUGCUUAAUUUUUUAAUUUAACUUGAAUAAUUUCACUCGAUUCAACUCGAUUCGAAAAAAAAUUUAAAAUCGAAUUAAAAUGCUAAAAUAGAACUCGUUAACUCUAUUAAUUUAAAAAACUUUCACUCGAUUGAUUGAAUAUUCUCCCCUACUUUGAAACAGAAAGUGAGACAUCAUGCAGCAACAUUACACUGGGCAAGUGAGAAACUCUCAUGUUAUGAAAUUGGCUAAGUAACUAAAGGAAGGAUCCAUGAACCGAAAUUUUGGAGAUCAAUAGUGAAAGAAACCUUGAAGCUACACCCACCUGUUCCUUUGAACAUCAGACAAAACAUUGAGAACUGUAUGUAGGGAUGAACAAAAUCUAAUUCGAUUUAAAAAAUUUGAUAAAAAAUUUAAAUUUUAAAUUAAAUAGUUCGAAUUAUUUGAGUUAAUCAAGUUAUUCGAAUUAACUCGAAUAAAAAAUUAAUUUUUUCGGUUUAACUCAAAUAUGAAUUACACCAUUCGAGUUAUUCAAAAAUUCAAAUAAGAGGCAAUGGAGCUAAUAGUGGUUGGUUUACUCCUUCUAGAGGGCUAAGGCAAGGAGACCCCCUCAGUCCUUAUCUAUUUUUGAUUUGUGCUGAAGGUUUUUCAUUGCUUAUUCAGGAAGCAAAAGCCAGAGGAGGGAUGCUGGGGGCACCUAUUGGUAGGGAGAAAUUUUCGGUCAACUAUUUAUUUUUGCAGAUGAUUGUAUUCUCUUCGGUGACGCCUCUUGUGAAGGAGCUGAGGUGGUUCGGACUAUCAUCCAUGAAUACGAAAUGGCCUCAGGGCAGCGAGUGAACUUUAAUAAACCCCUCAUUUAUUUUGGUGCAAAUGUUGAUGCAAAUGUUCAGGAGGAUAUUGUCAGGCUUUUAGGGGUCCAUUUGGCCUCUAAUCCCGAGAAGUAUCUCAGUUUGCCCAUGAUGGUGGGUAGGAGGAAGAAGUGGGCUUUUGCAAACUUUGUGGACCGAUUCAGGAAACGAAUUGAGGGGUGGAGUAUGCGCUAUUUGUCAACGGGGGUAAGGAGGUUUUCAUAAAAUCAGUUUUGCAAGCAACCCCAAUUUAUGCUAUGCAAUGUUUUCUUUUGCCAAAGGCGUUAUGCAAAACUCUGGAAGGCACUAUGAAUCGAUUCUGGUGGAUGAAUAAUAAAACCUUGAAGGGUAUUCACUGGAGUUCGUGGGAUGUUCUAUGUAAACCGAAAUGUUUUGGAGGCUUGGGGUUUAAAAACUUAUUUCUGUUUAAUAAGGCAUUAUUAGCAAAACAAGUGUGGUGUAUGUUAACCCAGCCCCAUUGUUUGUUAGCUAAGGUUUUAAAAGCCCGCUAUUUUCCGUUUUCUGACAUUUUAGCAGCAAAGGUUGGUUCUUACCCUUCAUUUACCUGGAGGAGUAUUUGUAGCGCUCGGUAGUUGAUCGGAGAUGGGUAUCUUGUGGAGAGUGGGAAAUGGUACUCGUAUUAACAUUUGGAUGAUCCUUGGUUACCUGGAAGGGAGAAUAACAGAGUCCCAGUUCAAGUAAUUAUGCCGAAUUGGUCCACUGUGUACCAGUUAAUUAAUAAUGAUGACAGUACCUGGAAUAGAGAGUUAAUACACAAUUUAGUGGAUGAUGUCACAGCAAGCCGAAUCCUUGCCAUCCCUAUUUCAGAAAGCCGACCAGAAGAUAUGCGGGUAUGGAAAUAUGAAGGCUCAGGAGAGUAUACUGUCAGGAGCGGAUAUAGGGUCCUCAUUACAGAGUAUUUACAUAGUAAUUUACAUACAUCAACUAGAGAUGAGGAUUACAAAGAUUUCUAUAUAGAUCUAUGGGCUUUGAAAAUUCCAGCGAAAAUAAAAAUGCAUAUUUGGAGGCUUUUCAACAAUUUGGUGCCUCAUUAUGGUCCAUGAAGGGGUUAAGUUUUCUAUGUCAGCUUUGUUGGGGUUUAUUUGGGGUUAUGAACAGGAACUAUGGUUUGCUCAAGAGAAUCUGUGUUUCUUCUGCUCUUCUGGGUAACGAACUUUGGAGGCCUCCUGACUAUGGCUUUAUUAAAAUUAAUUUUGAUGCGUCGUAUAUCCAAGAUAAAAAGUUUGCAAUAACAGCAGUCCUAGCCAGAGAUUACAGAGGGGAAGUUGUGGAGGCAGAUACUUAUCUGAUGGAAGAUGUGGAUGAUGUUUUUGUGGCAGAAGCUCGUGCUUGUGAAACAGCGUUACGCCUUGCAAGUAUGAAGAGUUUUCGACGGCUGAUUGUGGAAGGUGAUUCUCUGUCAGUCAUUAAAAAAUUAAAUACACAAGGGGAAGAUAGAUCGGUCAUUAGACCGAUUAUUCAUAAUAUUCAUCGAUUGCAGGUGGGUUUUGACAAAGUCUCUUACAUUUUUGUGCCCCGCUCGGUUAAUGCUGCAGCGCAUGCUUUGGCGACGGAGGGUCGGAGAAGAAGGGUACAAGGGAACUGGGUUGAUGGUCUACUGGAGACAGUGAGGCUAGUGGUAAAGGAAGACUGGUUAAGAUAGAAUCUGAGGAACUAAGAUCUAUAUUUUGCUUUGUUUUUGGAGAAGGUUCUUAGAACUCCAAUGCCGUUUGCAAAGCUUUGUUGGCUCUUGAUUUGGAUCGUCAAUACUGAGGAGAUGGAGCACUAUUCCGACUGAUAUUGGAAGUUGAAAGAUAUUUCUGCAGGCUCACACGUUUUUCUAUUAGUUUUAAUUAGUUGUUCAGUACUUUUUAGGCUUUCACUUUUAUUUUGCUUGACAGCUGUGGUAGGUUUCUCUUUUGUCGGUUUCUCUGCUGUUAGUGACAUUUCAGUUUUGGUUUUUGAGCCUGGUAAAAUUAAUAUCAGUCUAUUUUUGACAAAAAAAAAAUUUUAAAUAAUUAAAUUAAAAGAUAAAUUUACGUUGUUUUGAUAAAUGUUUAUUCAUUUAAAAGGUAAAAUUAUUAUAUUGUUUAUGUAAUUAAAUAAUCUUGUAAUUUAUCUACUAGUUAAAUAAUCGGUCCAUCUAAACGCAACAUUAAGUAUAAAUAAUAGAAUUCGUUAACUCAACUCAAUUUGACUUGAAAUUUUUUGACUCGAUUCGUAAAAAUUUCAAAUUCAGUUGGGUUGCUAAAUAGGAUUUGUCAACUCGACUAAUUCAAAUUUUUUUUACUCAAUUUGAUUCGACUCGAUCAAAUAUCACUCUUAACUGUGUGAUCAAUGGCUAUGGCAUCCCUUCAAAGCCCAAUGUUCUCAUUUAAUGCAUGGGCCAUGUAAAGGAUCCUUGUUGUUGGGGAAAAGGUGAGCUGUUUUGGGUGAGAGCAGCUCUAUUGGUGGUUUUAAUGAAGGAAAGCUUGAGUACAUGUAUAUGUAUAUGCCAUUUGGUGGUGGGGAAGCCAAAAAAAUUGUUUGAAUGAGUAAAAAAAAUUGUUAGAAGGAAGAAUGAUUUGGUCUUAUUCUCGUACCUUAUUCUUUUUCAUCCAACUAAUAGGGUUCUGUAGAGGUCUUUGUACUAUAUCGUGGAAUGCAUUUUUGGUUUCUACAAGUAAAAUAUUCUCUUACGUUAGAAAUACACGCAAAAUGAUCAUUUAUAUAACAAUUGAAGGAAAAAAAAACAGUUAGUUUUAUGAGGUGGAAUUAAUUAAAUGAUGUGGUAUUAAUUUAAGAUAUGACUGAGUUGUUCACUUUUAUCUUUUGUACCUUAAUUCUGACUAUUACAUUUAUCCUAGCUCGACGGUCCGCCCAAAAUAUGGGAGGGUUUGGGUAAAAAUAUAGGUCCGAAAUAUGAGUUUGGGCAAAAAAAGAGGCCUGUUUUUUUGGCCUGAGCUCGUCCCGACCCGAAUGAUGUGGAAUUAAUUAAAUGAUCAUUUAUAUAACAAUUGAAGGAAAAAAAAACAGUUAGUUUUAUGAGGUGGAAUUAAUUAAAUGAUGUGGUAUUAAUUUAAGAUAUGACUGAGUUGUUCACUUUUAUCUUUUGUACCUUAAUUCUGACUAUUACAUUUAUCCUAGCUCGACGGUCCGCCCAAAAUAUGGGAGGGUUUGGGUAAAAAUAUAGGUCCGAAAUAUGAGUUUGGGCAAAAAAAGAGGCCUGUUUUUUUGGCCUGAGCUCGUCCCGACCCGAAUAUAAUAAAUUAUUUUUAUUUUUUUAAUUUUAAAAUAUUUCUAUAAUACUUUUUUUUAUUUUUAAAAUAAUUUUUUUGUGUUUAUUAAAAAUGGGUCAGGCUGGGCUAGGCUCGGGCUUAGGAAUUUUUUCUUGAGCCGGGCUUGGAUAAAAUUUCAGGCUCAUUUUCAGGCCGGGCCAAGGUCUAGGACGUGGGCCAAAAUUUUUUCUGGGCUCAGCCCGACCCAGCCCAUGAGCACCUUUAAAUUUAUCCUGUCCUUUUUCUUUUUAUUUUGAAUGUAAUAAACUCAAAGUGCUUACUUCAAACUAUUAAAAGUAAAAGAAGCCAUUUGCUUUAUCUAAACCCAAGUAUUGUAAAAUCUCCUAAAAAAAAGGACACCUUCCUUAUUAUCAUAAAUCAAUUUGGCGAUUCCAUCGGCAACUUGAUUAUUCUUAUUGGGAGCAUACUUGAAAAACCACAAUCUUCCAUAUUUUAGUAUAUGUUUGGUUCUUCUAACCAAGGUUGAAUUUGCAUCCGUUGAUUGUCUAUCUUCAAUGACUUUAAUCAUUUCCAUGCUAUUCGUAUGAAUCAACACACUCUUAUAUCUUCGUUUAUUUAAAAUAGUCAGCCCAUCCAAAAUACACAUCCCUUAAGUAAUGGUUAUAACCAAGAAUCUAAUUCCCAACCUAAUUUCACAACACUCCCCGACCAAUGCAUAUUCCCCGAUUUCAUAUCUUAUUCAUCGAUUAAAUACAUACAGCUACAAUCGAGUAAAUGAAUAUGCCACCUCAUAUAUUAAACUUAUGUUGUAUCAUUUAAUUGAGUUAAUCUCAUAAAAUUAAAAACUUUUUAUCAACUAUUACCAAAAAUAUGAUCUUGUUAAUUUAUCUACCUACAGGGAUCUUUAUGUUUAUUUUUAAAAGUAUAAAAACUAAAUGCAUUCUUCAUUAUGGUACAGGGACCGAUAUAGUAUUUUUACCAAUAAUUCCCUAAUGGAAAAUUGGAAAUUUGCUUGGUAGUAUAUUAAUAAAUAAAAAAAACGUCAUUUGUGAAUCCAUGGCUUGGUUCAGAAUCGAAUCUCAACAUUGUAUCUCCAUAUUAUUAUGUUUUUAUAGACCCCAAAUCAUUGAUUUCUUUGUCCCCCCCCCCCAAAAAAAAAUUAAUAAUUGAUUUAUUUGCAUUUUAGCAUUUGCAGGGACUUCCAUUUUUCAAAUAAUUGUUUUUGGAAACUGAAAAUUGGAUCAAUUAAACUACUAAUAUAUCCUUCUUUCCUUGAUCCCAAAGCACAGAUGCUUUUCAACCAAGGUUGACUGCGCUAAAUGUUUUUAAGUUUUAAAAUAUUAUAGUUGAGUCCUUAAAAUAUUAGUAUUAUAUCAAUUACGUCCUUAUGUCAAUUUAGCUUAUCAGCAUAUGGGUUGCAAGGGCAACAUUAGAGGAGGACAAGCAUGGCCUUGGUCCCUCCAAAGUGAAAAAUUGCUCUUUUAUUUCCUUUAAAAAUAAUAAAAUUUUAAAUUAAUUUAAUGGUAAAAUUUUAUGACCCUUCUAAAGUUUAAAAUUUAAAAUUGAAUUGUUUAUAGUUUAAUUUCUCAAGGUAUUGUAAAAUUUUAUGUUUAUAUAGUGAUAAAUUUACAUUUUAGCUCUCUCAACAAUUUAUAAUUCAAAUCCAGCCCUCCCCCAGGAAAUUAUUUCUAGCUUCGUCAUUGCUUGAUCAAAUUAUAAACAUAUGUUUAACAUCAUCUUUGGUAGGACGUGUUUAAAAAAAAAAGCCCUCUUAAAUUUUAAUGUUGUUUUUUAAAAUACGUCAAAUAUGAACCGAUAUUGAUGGUUAAACUGGCGAAAAGACCUAAUUAAUAUAAUACUAGUAUUUUGAAGAUUAGGUUAAAACAUUUUGAAAUGUAGGACCAACUUAAAAUCUCAAGAUAAUUUGGGGGAUAGUUUAGUGAAUUGAACAAUUUCAACUAUUCCAAGUUUGCUUUGGUGGUUGGAGCAGGCUGUAGCAUCUUUGAUUUCAUCAACUGCAAAAUUUGUUGACUAUGUUUAAUUUGUUGGGAAAAUUAAACGCCCACUUUUUACAAGGAGAUUUAUUUAACAGCUAGUCAUAGUUUUGCUUGGUAGCGUAGAAAAUAAGAAACUACAACUUGAUUUUUAUUUUUCAAUUUUAUUCUUAAAUUAUUAACUGAUAAAAAAAAUUCAUGCCAUGUUUGGUUCGCUGUAAUAGAAUAGGGCUGUAAUCGGUAAUUCAAUUAUUUGAUUGAAUGAAAUGGAAUAAUAUUCUUACGUUAAGUUAAUUGGAAUGAAAUAAUAUUCUUGUGUUUGGUUGAAUAGAAUAAAUAUUGUAAUAGCAUAAGAAAAAAUACUGAAAUAAUCAGAGUACCCUUAGUAGAAUUUUUGUAAGAUAGAUAAUUAUGAUUUUUGUUAUUAAAUUUUAAUAGCAUUAUUAUUAAAUAUAAUUUAAUAAUAUUCUUAAUAUGAUUAUUUUUAUAUUAAAUUAUUUCAAAUAUUUUAUUUUUAUAUUUUUUGAGUCCAAGUUUUAAUUAUUAACGUUUAUAGUUUUUUUUGUUAAUAUAUCUUUUUUAAAAUUAAAUUUAGUUCUUAAUAUUUUAAAAAGAAUUAAAUUUAAUUAUUAAUCUUUUGAAAGAGAGUUAAAAUAUUUUUUUUAAUUAAAAUAUUAAUUAAAAAUUAAAAUUUUAAAUACGGCAACUCUCGUAGCAGUCAAAGUGCAUUUCAUGCUUAGAGCUGCCCAUGGGCCGGGCCGGGCCGGGUUCGGAAAAAAUUUUUGGCCCGACUCUUAAGCCCGGGCCUGGCCCGAAAUAUGGGCCUGAAAUUUCCCCAGGCCCGGCCCGGGAAAAAAAGAGCAAGCCCGAGCCCGGCCCGGCCCGAUUUUUAAUAAACACAAAAAAAUAUUUUAAAAAUAAAAAAUAAAAAAAUAUAUUUUUAAAGUAUUUUAAAAUUAAAAAUUAAAAAUUAAAAAAUAAAAAUAAAAAAUAUAUAUUUAUUAUAUUCGGGUCGGGCCGGGCCCUGGCCAAAAAAGUUGAGCCCGAGCCCGGCCCAUUUUUUAAACGGGCCUCGUUUUUUUGCCCAAUCCCAUAUUUCGGGCCUAUAUUUUUACUCGAACUCUCCCAUAUUUCGGGCGGGCCGUCGGGUCGGGCUGGGCCGCCCGGCCCAUGGAUAGGUCUAUUCAUGCUUCUUCUUCUUUAAUUUUUAUGAAAAUUUUAUAAUUUUUUUGAGUUGAGUUUUUUUUAUUUUUUUAUAAUUUUAAAUUAUUUGUUGACGUGGUAUAUAAAAUAACUAUUGUCAUGUCAGAUUGUUCACAUGGAUUGACACGCGGGUUGUCGUGUCAAUUUCAUUAAAAAAUUAGUGUUUUAGUCAAUGUAAUUUUAAAAAAAAGUAAUUUAACUCUUUUUAAAGGUUUAAUGCUCAAAUUUAGUUAAAAAGAAAAUAAGAGUUAAAUUGACAGAAAAUACAAACAUUGAGGGCUAAAUUCGUUAUUAUACUUUUUUAAAAAAACCAAAGAAUCCUUAAUCAGGGUCAAUAAAAAUGAGAGUUUAGAACUAUUAAUGGGUUGGUUCAGGUUCCAAAUUUUUUUUUAUUGUUGGCAAAUUUAUAAAAUAUUAUAUUAAUAUUUAUAUAUUUUUAUAAUAAAUUAAAUUUUAAAAAUAUUUUUAUUUAAAUUAAAUUUGGGUUAAAUUAAGUUGGCUUGAAACAUAAAAAUUUUCGUUUAAGUUCGAAUCUAGUCAUGUCAGACCUAUUAGAUCGGGUGAGCUUCCCGGCCCAUAAAUAGGUCUAAUGAGAGUUAAUUGAGCUUCAUUCUCUCCAAAUUUUUGAAAAAGAUUCUUAAAAACUUAAUGUUUAAUUAAAUUUACAUGUUCGUUUUAAGAUUUAUACCUUCCUAUAUAUAUAUCUAUUUUUCAUGAUAAAAUGCCAUGAAAGGCAAGUAAUCUUUUAAGAUUAUUACAUAAAUCCCAUACGUUAAAAUUAAUAAAUUAUGUCAUUAAUUAUAUAUUAUCCAUUUAAAAGGAAAGGUCCUUUGGAUUUUCCUUGGUUCACAGGUGAAUUAACUUCCUCUUUUCUUUUUUCUUUUUCUUUUUUGCAGUAUAUAGUAAAAUAGUCUAUUUUAAUAGAAGAUUUUAAUCACAUUUGAAAUUUUAAAAUUUAAAAAUAGAGGGAUUAAAUUUCUAAAAAUAAAAAUAUAAAGAUUAAAUUUCAAAUAUACAAAUAGUACAAGAACUUAACUAUAUUUUUAAUAUUUACUUUAUAAUUUAAUUAAAAAUAAUUAAUAAUUAACCGAACAUGAAGUACGAUAAAAUACAUAUUAGUUAGUAUUAAGGGUUUUUACUUAGAUAAUAUAAAAAAAUACGAAAAUGUGACAUGUUGUAGAUUAUUUACCAAAAUGAUAUGUUUUCUACAAAAAAAUUAGGUGUUUGUCAACCUAUCAGGCACACCCCCUAUAAAAUAUAAUAUUUUAAUAAAAUAAAUAAAAUAAUAAAUUAAAAACAAUACUUUUUUACCUUUUUUUUAAUUUGGGCUGGUUGUGGUAUGAUUUUGAUGGAAAUUAAAAAUAAGUCUAUUUAUUUUAAUUUAUUAUAAUUUAAUCUUUAUAGGUUUUCGAAUUUGACUAACUUUUUAAAUUCGAAAACUUACAAAGACCAAAUUAUGAUAAAUUAAAAUAAUAGUUAAAAUAAAAAAUUUAGAUUAAAUUAUGAUAAAUUAAAAGAAAUGGACAAACUUCUAAUUUUCAUAAAAUAAAAUAUAUUAAAUUUAAAAAUAUGCCACAAUCACCCUAAAUUAAGAAAAAUGUAAAAAAUAGGAAAAGGGGUGCGGCCUGAAAUUUUGGGUCACCUUUUUUUAGAUUAAAAUAUUAUUUUUUAAAUUUAUUUUUAUUGAAAUAUUAUUUUUUUUAUAAGUAAAAAGGUAUUAUUCUCCUAAAUAAUUUACAUAUUUUCGUACUCCUUGGAAGACAAGUUUCUGACUACAGAAUCCCCAAGUUUUGCAAUGAUGGUGUGCUGAGUUGCUGACGACCAUGUUUUUGGCCUUUCUCUUCUUUGAUCACCCUCCACCAAUCUUGCUCUCCACGCAUUUCUCUUCUCCAAGUAUUUUUCUUGGUCUUUCUUUUUUAGUCUUAUUUAUAUAUAAACACAAAGCCUGAAGCCUUCAAACACUUGAAACCAAUCCAAACUUUUAUCCAAACACACAAAACCCAAGUUUUUUCUUCAGCCAAAGCUCCAAAAAAGAUGGAACUUUUUGCUUCACAAUCAUCUUUACUAAUGAGUUCAGCUACUAGUUUUGAUUUUCUACAAAAACCCAUUUUUCUUCAUGGGCUUUCUGCUUCAUUACACUUAGUUUUGUUGCUUUUAUUGUUAAUCUUGUGGAUGGUGAGCAGGAUUAAAAAAGUUAGUAGGGAAAGUUCAAAGGAACGACAGAUUUUAUGGUAUAAGCAAACAUUAGCCUGUUGUUUUGUUGUUUCAGUUUCCAAUGUUGUCUUGUGUUUGUUAAGUUAUUUUUAUUGGUAUGGAAAUGGUUGGUCUGAGGAUAAGUUGGUGAGUCUUAUUGAUUAUGCAUUGAAAAUACUUGCUUGGGGUGCAACAUGUGUUUGCUUGCAAUGUCAAUUCUCCAAUCCUGGUGAACAAAAGAGGUUCCCUGUUGUGUUGAGAAUUUGGUGGGGUUUUUACUUUUCAAUUUCAUGUUAUUGUCUUGUUAUAGACAUUGUUCUCUUCAAAACACAUGUUUCUUUCCCAAGCCAGUAUUUAGUAUCUGAUGUCUUGUCUGUUGUUACUGGUUUGUUUCUAUGUAUUGUUGGGUUCUUUGUAAGAAAUGAGGGUGAAGAUACCCUCCUUGAGGAACCCCUUCUAAAUGGAGAUUCUAGUGUUAGUAAUGGUGUAGAGUUGAGUAAGGAAAAAGGGGGUGAUACUGUAACCCCAUAUUCAAAUGCUGGUAUUUUCAGCAUUCUUACAUUUUCUUGGAUGGGGCCUCUCAUUGCUGCUGGCAAUAAGAAACCAUUAGACCUUGAGGAUGUUCCUCAGCUAGAUAGCCAUGAUAGUGUUAUUGGGGCUUUUCCAAAAUUUAAAAACAGGCUUGAAUCAGAUGAUAGUGAGGGGAAUGGUGUUACCUCACUUAAGCUGGUGAAGGCACUGUUCUUUUCAGCUUGGAAAGAUAUUCUUUGGACAGCUUUGUUUGCAUUUACGUACACGGUGGCUUCAUAUGUUGGCCCAUUCCUCAUCGACACUUUCGUUCAGUAUCUGAAUGGGCAAAGGGAAUUUAAGGCUGAGGGCUAUCUUCUAGUUGCUGCUUUCUUUGUUGCCAAGCUAGUGGAGUGCUUGUCUCAGAGGCGCUGGUUCUUUAAGUUGCAACAAGUUGGACUUAGGCAGAGGGCUGUAUUGGUAGCAGUGAUAUAUAACAAGGGGUUAACCCUUUCGUGCCAGUCGAAGCAGAGCCAUACCAGUGGGGAGAUCAUCAAUUUCAUGACUGUUGAUGCAGAAAGGGUGGGUGACUUUAGUUGGUACAUGCAUGAUCCAUGGAUGGUAGUUUUGCAAGUUGCUUUGGCCUUGUUGAUCUUGUAUAAGACCCUAGGGCUUGCAUCCAUUGCCGCUUUCGUUGCUACUGUACUUGUUAUGUUGGCGAAUAUUCCUUUGGGGAAAAUGCUGGAGAAGUUUCAGGAUAAGUUAAUGGAAUCAAAAGAUACAAGGAUGAAGGCAACAUCUGAAAUUUUGAGGAAUAUGAGGAUUCUUAAACUGCAGGGGUGGGAAAUGAAGUUCCUCUCCAGGAUUGUCGGGCUCAGGAGCGUCGAGGAAGGAUGGUUAAAACGAUUCGUUUAUACAAAUGCCAUGACUGCUUUCGUUUUCUGGGUUGCACCAUCCUUUGUGUCUGUAGCCACUUUUGGUGCUUGUAUGUUCUUAGGAGUCCCACUUGAGUCAGGGAAGACCCUAUCUGCACUCGCAACAUUCAGGAUUCUUCAGGAGCCAAUCUACAACCUUCCUGACACAAUCACAAUGAUAGUUCAAACAAAGGUGUCACUUGAUCAAAUUGCUGCCUUCCUCCGGCUCGAUGACUUGCAGCCUGAUGCUAUAGAGAAGCUACCCAGUGGUAGUUCCAAUAUAGCGAUUGAGAUUGCUGAUGGGAACUUCUCUUGGGAUACGUCAUCCCCUACUGCAACACUAAAAGAUAUAAACUUGAAAGUUUCCCAUGGCAUGAGUGUUGCUGUUUGUGGUACGGUCGGCUCUGGCAAGUCAAGUUUACUUUCCUGUCUGUUGGGGGAGUUACCAAAGAUAUCAGGAACGCUUAAGUUGUGUGGUACAACAGCCUAUGUUGCCCAGUCACCUUGGAUACAAAGUGGCAAGAUUGUAGACAACAUAUUGUUCGGUAAGGAAAUGGACAGAGACAAGUAUGACAAAGUGCUUGAAGCUUGUACCCUCAAGAAGGAUCUUGAAAUUCUCUCUUUCGGUGAUCAGACGGUUAUAGGCGAGAAGGGAAUCAAUCUGAGUGGUGGACAAAAGCAAAGAAUACAGAUUGCUCGUGCUCUAUACCAAGAUGCCGAUAUCUAUCUGUUUGAUGAUCCUUUCAGCGCAGUGGAUGCUCAUACCGGAUCUCAUUUAUUUAAGGUAAUGUCUUCUUAAUGAUCAUAUGGCAUGCAUUUUAAGAGUCCCUAUAGUUAAUUUAGUUGAAAUAGUUAUGUAUGAGCUCUGAGUAUCUUGUUUACUCUUUUGAAUGGCAGGAGGUUUUACUAAAGAAUUUGAGAUCAAAAACAGUGAUUUAUGUCACUCAUCAAGUUGAGUUUUUACCAGCUGCUGAUUUAAUUUUGGUAAGCUAUUAUUUACAUUAUUUUCAGUGAUUUUCAUCAUAUGUCUAAGAUUCAAGAAAUAAUUUACUAACUGGAUUCAACUUGUAUUUACAUAUUUGUUAGGUGAUGAAAGAUGGGAGGAUUGUUCAAGCUGGAAAGUAUAAUGAUAUUCUCAAUUCAGGUACUGAUUUUAUGGAACUUGUGGGUGCACAUAAGAAAGCUUUGUCGGCCCUUGAUACUGUUGAAGCAAGUUCGGUUUCUGAACAAACUACCAGCGAAGGAGAAAGUGAUAUAGGUACUACUAAUGGGAAAGUGCAGAAACAAGAAAACCAAGGUAACCGGAGCUUUAAAGUAGAUGAUGUCGGACCAAAAGGACAGCUUGUUCAAGAAGAAGAACGAGAGAAAGGACAAGUCGGGUUUUCGGUCUACUGGAAGUACAUCACAACAGCAUAUGGAGGAGCUCUUGUGCCUUUAAUACUGCUUGCUCAGAUUCUCUUUCAGAUUUUUCAAAUAAGCAGCAACUAUUGGAUGGCUUGGGGAUCACCGGUGUCGGCAGACAUAAAGCCUCCUGUUGGGAGCUUUACACUAAUCAUGGUCUAUUUGGCUUUGGCCAUUGCAAGUGCCAUUUGUGUCUUUGCCAGAUCCAUGCUUCUUGGUACAGCUGGAUAUAAAACAGCCACUCUUCUCUUUUAUAAGAUGCAUCUUUGCAUUUUCCGCGCUCCUAUGUCUUUCUUCGAUUCUACACCGAAUGGAAGAAUCCUCAACAGAGUAAGCAUCUAAUGUUUUUCCUGUAUGGAUACGAAAGAUUCAAUUUAUCUUCAUGUUUGUUGGCAUUUUUCCCCUUGUUUUUGAAGUAUUGUAAACUUUUUUGCUGCCUCUUAUAGGCUUCUACAGAUCAAAGUGCAGUGGAUACGGACAUCGCGUAUCAAGUUGCCGCAUUUGCUUUCUCAGUUAUCCAGCUACUUGGAAUCAUUGCAGUCAUGUCUCAAGUUGCUUGGCAGAUCUUUAUCAUUUUUAUUCCAGUGAUUGCUACCUGCAUUUGGUAUCAGGUAACUCUUGCUGAAUUGUGGCUAAGCAAUGCAUGAAAUCAUGAACUUCUUACAAAGCAGCAACAUACCUAAAAUCUCAAAUUUUCUACUUUGUAAAACUCAUUUAAUCAUUGCCUUAUUGCUGAACAAAGGAAUGCUCAUAAACUUGUAAUCUCGCAGCAAUAUUACAUAUCUUCUGCACGAGAACUUUCGCGGCUGAUUGGAGUAUGCAAAGCUCCAGUAAUACAGAAUUUUGCUGAAACAAUUUUAGGAGCAACAACUAUAAGGAGCUUUGAUCAAGAGAAAAGGUUCCAAGACACAAACAUGGUGCUGACUGACUCGUAUUCUCGUCCAAAAUUCCAUGUUGCCGGUGCAAUGGAAUGGCUGUGCUUCCGCCUGGACUUACUGUCUUCUGUUACUUUUGUCUUCUCUUUAUUCUUUUUAAUCUCUAUACCGGAAGGAAUUAUCGAUCCUGGUAAGUAAAUGCAGAUUCAUAUUGGCAGCUUUAUUGACUACUAGAUAACAAAUGUUCUAGGAGAAUGAUUGUAUGCAUUUUUCUUUUGUUUAGGUAUUGCCGGGUUAGCUGUGACGUAUGGACUCAAUCUAAAUAUGUUGCAAGCUUGGGUGGUGUGGAAUAUUUGCAAUAUGGAGAAUAAAAUUAUAUCUGUUGAGAGAAUACUUCAGUACUGUAGUAUUCCUAGUGAGCCUGCCCUUGUGGUGGAAACGAAUCGCCCAGACCAUUGUUGGCCGUACCACGGAGAAGUUCAUAUUCGUGAUUUGCAGGUAAGGGCAGUGUUGUGGUGUUCUAUGAUUUUGUUUCUAAUGGAAUUGCCGUAUUAAAUAAACAAUGAUGGUCUCGAUGUAGGUACGAUAUGCCCCGCACAUGCCACUCGUGUUGCGAGGUCUGACCUGCACAUUUCCUGGAGGGUUGAAAACCGGUAUCGUAGGGAGAACAGGCAGUGGUAAAUCAACUCUCAUACAAACACUUUUCCGGAUCGUUGAACCUGCAGCAGGGCAGAUCAUAAUCGAUGGUGUAAACAUCUCAUCGAUCGGGUUGCAUGAUUUGCGUUCACGACUCAGCAUCAUCCCUCAAGAGCCUACCAUGUUUGAAGGGACUAUACGAAGCAACCUGGACCCUCUUGAAGAAUACACAGAUGAACAGAUUUGGGAGGUAGGUUCAUUUUAGUUAAACACUGUCUGUUAUGAUCGGCAAUUGAAGUCUAACAUCAAUCAAUAUUGUGUUUUAAAGGCAUUGGAUAAAUGCCAACUUGGGGAUGGAGUUCGAAACAAGGCCGGCCGGCUCGAUUCUUCAGGUUCGAUCCUUCUAUCUUAUAACACACAUGGGUUUGUCUUCUUUUGCAUAAAUUAUACUUAGUAUGAUUAUUGUUGUGCAGUUAGUGAGAAUGGAGAGAAUUGGAGCAUGGGGCAAAGGCAGUUGGUGUGCCUUGGGCGUGUUCUAUUGAAGAAAAGUAAGAUCUUAGUGCUCGACGAAGCUACCGCAUCGGUGGAUACAGCCACCGACAACCUAAUACAGACGACGUUAAGGGAGCACUUCUCCGAUUGUACGGUCAUAACAAUCGCUCACCGAAUAACUUCGGUUCUUGAUAGCGACAUGGUUCUGCUACUAAGUCAUGGUUAGUAGUACAGUAUGCUCUGCUCAUUAAGAUGGAUUCUUGGAAGUCAUUUCAUUUGAAUAGAUAAAAAAAAAAAAACAUUUGUUUUUGCAGGACUUAUAGAAGAAUAUGAUAGUCCAUCAAGUUUGCUGGAAAACAAGUCUUCAUCAUUUGCACAGCUUGUAGCAGAGUACACUGUGAGAUCAAAUUCUGGUUUUUGAUAGAAACUGGAUUGAAUUAGACAAUGAUGAAAAUUUACUAGUGUUAGUAAUUAGUAAUGUUUUUAAUUUGUAAUUGUGGGUGUUUUUCAUUGUUUUGUGCCAUUUUCUUUGGCUCCCAAUAAACGAUUUUCCCUUUUUUUUGUGGUCCAAUUGUUAUGUUUUAUGUUGCUAAAACUUUUCGUAUGUGUUCCAUACUUGUAUUAUACACAUGUGUAUAAACAUCAGAGCGAUAGCAGAAAAUUUUGUUAGAAUGGUCGAAAUUAAAUUGUAAUUUUUACGAUAGUAAAAAUAUAAUUUUAUUAUUUUAAUAGUCUAUAUUUUUAUAAUAUAUUUUAAAAAUUAAAUCAAAUUCUUAUAUAUAUUUUUUAGGUUGGUAUUAAAUUGGGAUGAAUUAAUCAACUCGAUUAGGAAUAUAGUAUGCUACAAUGUUAUAUUCUUGAACUAGUUUAUGAAACUUAUUUUAAUGAGCUUAAGCGGAAUAAAUGAUGUACUUGGUAGUAUGCUUUGCAUAGGUGUAAUUAUUGAGUGUUUUCAUUAACUUAUUUGUGUUGAUACUAAAUUUGUAGAAAUACCAUUAAGUUGAUUAUUCGGCGUACGAUUUGUUUUCCAUGCGCAAGUUAGAGUAUAUUAAAGAUCCUAAAUUUCGGUUUCAGUAUCCAGAGAACAUCUUGAACUCAACAAUGUUGAUGUAUUUACAUUUUUGAAUAGUUUAGCAUGUACCUAUCUAGUUAAGUCAUUGUUAGUAUAUCUUUAUAUUUAUAUGAACUUGAGUAUCAAAUUAGUAUUUAUUGAAUUUAAUUAAUAGUGUUAUUAUAUGCUCAUAAGUAAGUUAUUUGAAAUGUGUGUAUUCGUAUCUAAAUUAAUUGUGGUUGCCCUGAAAACAAAUGUGACACAUUGUAGCUCAGACCUGACGAUCGGGUCGGGUAUGAAAUGUUACACAAAGAGUACAAAAGCUUGGAUUAUAUUUUAAUAUUUACUUUAUAAUUUGACUAAAAAAUAAUUAAUAAUUAACCUAACACGAAGCACUAUAAAAUACGUACUAGUUAGUAUUAAGGGUUUUUCUCCUAGGUAAUACAAAAAAUAAUAAUUACAAAAAUGGGGCAUAUUGUAGAUUAUUUAUGAGAAUGAUAUACAAUAAAAUUAGGUGCCUCCUAGUGUCACGGGGCUAAAUCUUUCGUCUCACGAUCUGUUCGGCCUUAAGCGAUCUGUUCGCUCCAAACUCGCCUAAGUCAGCCUUUACUCCCAAAAGUGAGGAUUCCUUUAGAAUUCUUUUAAGGCACCAAUUUGUAUAGCGAAAGCGAUUGUGCCCAAAGAAGCUACAAAUGAACAAUUGAAAGCCAAAGAAAGAAUGCACACAAAGUGUUUAAGUAAAUGCUCUCAAUAUUCUCUUAUUCACAAAAAAUAAUGAAACAAUGAAUGAAGUCGGUACAAAUGAAGGGGACACUCUCUAUUUAUAGUUGAGCUCCCCCAAAACCGACGGUCAAUAUACAUUUACAUCGACGGACGAAAUUAACCAUAUCCCUUGAUUUUAGGGAUUAACAAGAUAUGUCAUAUCAAAUUAAAUCUAAUCUUUACAAGAUAUGAUUCCCUCAAUCUUCUAAAAUUAGUUACCAAAUUAACCUAAGUUAUUAUAUCUUCGUUAUCGGGCCAACCAGACUUCAAUCUAACAGGCUUUUCCAACAGCUUCUUGAAUCGGGUCAGUUCUUACAGGCCAAAUGAUUCCCAUCUAACCAAUAAACCUCAAUCGGAUGCAUUUGGUGCGAUGGUCACGGGCUUUGAACUGCGGCUCGUAACACUAGCACCACCUAUAAAAAGUAAAAUUUUAAUAAAAAUAAAUAAAAUAAUAAAUUAAAAACAAUAUUUUAAUCUAAAAAGUGGUGACCUAAAUAUUAGUCCAUUUAUUUUAAUUCAUCGUAAUUUGAUCUAUGUUUUCAAAUUUAAAAAGUUAGUUAAAUUAUUGAGUUUGUAUAUGGAUUUAAAAAACGGUUGGUCUUGUAGUAAGUAAUUUGAUGAUCAAGUUUAAUGAUAGUAAAUAAUUUUGCCUAACUUUUUAAAUUCAAAAACAUAAUAAAAUUAAAUUAUAAUAAAUUAAAAUACAUGGACUAACUUCUAAUUUUCAUAAAAUAGAAGUGUAGAAUUCGAAAUUAUACUACAACCACCCCAAAUUUAAAAAACAAAAAAACAAAGAGUUAGCACGUUGGGUCACUUUUUUAGAUUAAAAUAUUAUUUUUUAUAUUUAUAUUUAUUUAAAUUUAAUUUUACUAUAAAAUCUAUUAUUCUCAUAAAUAAUAUGCAACAUGCACAUUUUCGUGAUUAAAUUCCAUUUUUUUAUUCAUGUGUUUACCCCUUGGAAGACAAGUGUCUGACUGCGGAGUCCCACGUUUUGCAUUGCAUGGUGUGCUGAGUUGCUGACGACCAUGUUUUUUUGCCUUUUCUCUUUAUCUUUUUCUUUUAUUUGAAUUACAAAAAUAAAGUAAAACCCUCACAAUAACAUGAUUAACGCUAUUCGAAUUUUAAAUGGUUCGAAAAAUAAAUAUUUUGACAAUAACACACAAGAUUUGGCAUUUUUUGUUCUUCCACCAAGUGACAUAUAAUAUGAAUACGAGUCAACAACAUAAACAAUCGUUGAAAAGUGUUCAACUUAGUCCUCAAAGUAUGACUUGCAUUUCAAAUUCAUCUCUAAAGUUUAAAUUGUUUUAAUUAAGUCACAAAAAUAUCAAUAUCAUAUCUAUUAAAUUAUUCCAUUAAAUCAGUCAUUAACUUAAACAUUAAGGUAGCUCAAAUCUAGCAGUAGUAUAUUAAAACCCCAUAGGUCAAAUUAUAAAACCUUGAAUCUAUAUAUUAAAAAAAAAGUAAUUCUCUUAUAUUUUAUUGAUGAUUUUUAAAAAAAAAUUAGAUGUAGGCUAUUCAUGAUAUAAUUAUAUAUGCAUUUAAAAUUUUAUAAAAAUAAUUUAAAUACAUUUCAUAAUAUAUCUGAAUCAGUAUUUAUUAUUUAAAGUGAUGGCUACACCCGCAAAUGAAUCUUAAUGACAUGAUACUAAUAAUUUGAGAAUACAAUAAUUAUUUGAAAUAUAGGGAUGAAUUUAAAAUUUGAUCAAUAAAUUAGGAAUAUUAGUUGAAAUUAAGUCCUUCGUCCCUCGUUCCUGCUAAUUUAGUAUUUUGUUAGUUCUGGAAAACUGACACUAAAGUAAAAAAAGACUUUGAUAAUUAAUCCUAUAUUUUAUGUUUUCAGAGUAAAAAAUCACGUCUUUCCCCGAAGGGCAAAGGCCCCUCCAACUUCCUUUUUACGUCUUUUUCUGAAGUUCAGUACGUUUCCCUUCUGCUCUCUCCGUUUCCAAUCUUGCUGUCCACGCAUUUCUCUUCUCAUUUAUAUAUAAACACAAAGCCAGAAGCCUUCAAACACUAGAAACCAAUCAAAACUUUUAUCCAAACACACAAAACCCAAGUUUUUUCUUCGGCCAAAGCUCCAAAAAAAAUGGAACUUUUUGCUUCACAAUCAUCUUUACUAAUGAGUUCAGCUGCUAGUUUUGAUUUUCGACUAAAACCCAUUUUUCUUCAUGGGUUUUCUGCUUCAUUACACUUAGUUUUGUUGCUUUUAUUGUUAAUCUUGUGGGUGGUUAAAAAAGUUAGUAGGGAAGAUUCAAAGGAAAGACAGGUUUAAUGGUAUAAGCAAACAUUAGCUUGUUGUUUUGUUGUUUCAGUUUCUAAUGUUGUCUUGUGUUUCUUAAAUUAUUUUUAUUGGCAUACGAAUGGUUGGUCAGAGGAUAAGUGAGUGAGUCUUAUUGAUUAUGCAUUGAAAGCACUUGCUUGGGGUGCAUAUGCAACAUGUGUUUACAUGCAUUGUCAAUUCUCCAAUCCCGGUGAACAAAAGAGGUUCCCUGUUGUGUUGAGAAUUUGGUGGAGUUUUUACUUUUCAAUUUCAUGUUAUUGUCUUGUUAUAGACAUUGUUCUAUUCAAAAAACAUGUUUCUUUCCCAAGCCAGUAUUUAGUAUCUGAUGUCUUGUCUGUUGUUACUGGUUUGUUAAUUUCUAUGUACUGUUGGGGUCUUUUUAAGAAAUGAGGGUGAAGAUACCGUCCUUGAGGAACCCCUUUUAAAUGGAGAUUCUAGUGUUAGUAAUGGUGUAGAGUUGAGUAAGGAAAAAGGGGGUGAUACUGUAACCCCAUAUUCAAAUGCUAGUAUUUUCAGCAUUCUUACAUUUUCUUGGAUGGGGCCUCUCAUGGCUGCUGGCAAUAAGAAACCAUUAGACCUUGAGGAUGUUCCUCAGCUAGAUAGCCAUGAUAGUGUUAUUGAGGCUUUUCCAAAAUUUAAAAACAGGCUUGAAUCAGCUGAUAGUGAAGGGAAUGGUGUUACCUCACUUAAGCUGGUGAAGGCACUGUUCUUUUCAGCUUGGAAAGAUAUUCUUUGGACAGCUUUGUUUGCAUUUACGUACACGGUGGCUUCAUAUGUCAGUCCAUACCUCAUCGAUACUUUUGUUCAGUAUCUGAAUGGGCAAAGGGAAUUUCCAGUGGUAGUUCCGAUACAGCGAUUGAGAUUGCUGAUGGUAACUUCUCUUGGGAUAUGUCAUCCUCUACUGCAACACUAAAAGAUAAAAACUUGAAAGUUUCCCAUGGCAUGAGUGUUGCUGUUUGUGGUACGGUCGGCUCUGGCAAGUCAAGUUUACUUUCCUGUCUUUUGUGAGAGUUCCCAAAGAUAUCAGGAGCCAAGGCCCGCCGAAGGGUGGCUCGGAGAGAGGGGAGAGGGUUUCAGAAUUUUUUUUUAGAAAUGGGGAUGGAAUGAUUUUUUUGGGAAACUUUUGACUUAAAUAGGGCAUAGAAAAGGCGCCGUUUUCGCCUGUUUCCUUUAACAUAAAACGGCGUCUUUUGAUGCCAAAACCGAAUCGACCCGACCCGACCCAGCAGGAUCCGCGUGUUUUUGGCUGGGGGUCUAAUUCCGCCAUAAGUCCUUCCUAUUGUUCAAUUUUUUUCAAUUCAGUCCUAAUUACUCUUUUUUUUUUUUUAGAUUAUACCUUUUAUUUUUAAUUUAGUCUCCCUAUUUGCCUAAAAACGUAGCGUUUGAUAGGAUAGGGAAUAUUUUCCAAUUUGGUCCCUUUUUUUUAUGCGUGUUACAGUUUAGUUCCUUAUUUUAUUUUUAUCCCGAUUUCUCCCCUAAUAUUUUACUUAAGUUUCAAUAUAGUCCUCCUUAUAUUUAUGUACUUAUUUUAUUAUAAUUUAGACUCUUAGUUUCAUUUCAAUGUCGAUUUAAUCCUUAAUUAUUUAAUUUCGACCAUGAUUAUUUGUUUUUAUGUAUUAUUAUUUUUUAUUUAUUUACUUACUAUUUCUUUUUUAUUUAAAAUUGGUUUGUUUUUGUAUUUAUUGUGCAUUUUUUAUUUUUAUUUUUAUCUCCUUUUCUUUUGCCUUUAUUGUCAUUAUUUAUUUAUUAUUUUUUAUAUAUUUUCAAAAAUUAGAUUAUUUACAUUUUUACUUGCACAUUUAUUGUUCGUGUUAUUGUUAUUAUUAUUAUACGUUCAUAUUUUAUUAUGUGUAUUGUUAUCAUGCCAUUAUUACUAUAAAUUGAUAUCGCACUGUCAUUUACUAACACGACAUUGUUAUUUUUCAUAUAUAAUUUUUUAUAUAUACUUCCAUUUAAUUUUAUUAUGGCUACAAUCAUGUCACGAACCUUGCUCAAAUACAUUUACUCGUUUCUAUACUAUGCCCGAAUAAGCUAAAUACACAUUACUUUUAAUAUUGCACUCGUCUUUGCACGAGGCACAAAAAAGGAAAUUUUUUAAACCAAAGUAAUGUUCGUUAUCUUGGAAUUAGAAAAGUCGUGUUCUUAACUUACGGAAUAUGGCUUCUUUCUAAAACCAAGAUAGUCGAAUAUUUACUUUAAAAUAAAUAAAAACAGGAUUUAAGUGAUGAUCAAAAUGGCGUUCAUUCUUGUUCUCGAGGAUUUAAGGCAUUGUGUCCUAACUUACAGGAUGUGAUCCUUUCUUCUCGAUUAACUUGAAAUAAGCCUCCUUUUUGUAAAAAUUAAUUUAGUUAAAUAAUGUAUCAAAAAGGGAUCGUGUUUUAAAUUCUCUUCAAAUUUCUAAUUUUUGACAUUAAGACAUCAAGUAAUCAAUUAGGUAACAAUUUUGGACGUAACGAGAGGUGUGACAGCCCGAUUUCGACCCUAAUCAGACAUAGUAGUUUCGGGACCACAAAUCUAAGUCAAAAAAAUAUUUUAAUAUUACUUUGGGAGUUUACUAUGUGUGAAUUUGAUUGUGUGAGAUUUUCGUGUUUCAAUUUUGUUGUUUGAGUAACUGAUUAAAUAAAAAGGACUUAAUCGCGUAAAAAUAAAAAUUUAGGGGUUAAAGCUAAAAAUAUCUAUUUGUUGUUGUCUUUUUAUUUGGAAGGUUUAAACAUGGAAUUAGACCACUAAAUAGUUAGUGGAUGGCUAAGGACAAAACUAACCUUAUUAUAUAUAUUUAUAAAAAUUACAAAAAAUAUAUAUGUAAAAAAUAUAUAAAGAAAUUUAAAAAUUAAAAAUUUUCUAGAAUGAUAAUUUUGGGAUCUAAAUAAGUUAAUUAAUUAUUCAAAUUUAUAAUACUAAAGUAUUUUAUUAUUAUUUUGCUUCGAAUUUUUUUUCAAAUAUUUAUUGUUUCAAUUUUAUGUGCUCUAACAUGGAAUUAGUUAUAUUGUAAUAAGAUUUUAAUUUGACAUGUUUAAUUUUUUUAAUUUAAUUUGAAUAAUUUCACUCGAUUUGACUCGAUUCGAUUCGAAAAUUUUUUAAAUUGAGUUAGGAUGCUAAAAUAGAACUCGUCAACUCAAUUAAUUUAAAAAAAAUUCACUCAAUUCGAUUGAAUACUCACCCUUACUUUGAAACAAAAAAGUGAGACAUGAUGCAGCAACAUUACACCGGGCCAUGUCUGAAAUAGUGAAAAACUCUCAUGUAAUGAAAAUGGCCAAGUAACUAAAGCAAGGAUCCAUGAGCUGAAAUUCUGGAGAUCAAUAGUGAAAGAAACCUUAAGGCUACACCCACCUGUUCCUUUGAACAUCAGACAAAACAUUGAGAACUGUGCGUAGGAGUGAGUAAAAUCCGAUUCGAUUCAAAAAAUUUAAUGAAAAAUUCAAAUUUUGAAUUAAAUAGUUCGAGUUAUUUGAGUUAAUCAAGUUAUUCGGAUUAACUCGAAUAAAAAAUUAAGUUUUUUGGUUUAACUCGAAUAUGAAUUACACAAUUCGAGUUAUCCGAAAAUCCGAAUAAGAAAAAACAAAAUUAUGUUGUUUUGAUAAAUGUUUAUUUUUUAAAAGUUAAAAUUCAAAAUAAUUAAAUUAAAAGGCAAAACUACUUUGUUUUGAUAAAUGUUUACCCAUUAAGUUAAAAGGUAAAAUCAUUAUAUUGUUCAUGUAGUUAAAUAAUCUUGUAAAUUUAUCUACUAGUUAAAUAACCGGUCCAUCUAAACGCAACAUUAAGUAUAAAUAAUAGGAUUCGUUAAUUCGACUCGAUUUGACUCGAUUCAAUUCGAUUCGAAAAAAUUUCAAAUUGAAUUCGGUUGCUAAAAUAGAAUUUGUCAACUCGACUAAUUCAAAAAAAUUUUACUCGGUUUGACUCGACUCGAUCGAAUACUCACCCUUAACUGUGUAAUCAAUGGCUAUGGCAUCCCUUCAAAGUCCAAUGUUCUCAUUUAAUGCACGGGCCAUAUAAAGGAUCCUUGUUGUUGGGGAAAAGGUGAAGUGUUUUGGGUGAGAGCACCUCUAUUGGUGGUUUUAAUGGAGGAAAGCUUGAGUACAUGUAUAUGUAUAUGCCAUUUGGUGGUGGGGAAGCCAAAAAAAUUGUUUGAAUGAGUAAAAAAAUUGUUAGAAGGAAGAAUGAUUUGGUCUUAUUCUCGUACCUUAUUCUUUUUCAUCCAACUAAUAGGGUUCUGUAGAGGUCUUUGUAUUAUAGCAUGGAAUGCAUUUUUAGUUUCUACAAGUAAAAUAUUCUCUUACGCUAGAAAUACAUGCAAAAUGAUCAUUUAUAUAACAAUUGAAGGGAAAAAAACAGUUAGUUUUAUGAGGUGGAAUUAAUUAAUGAUGUGGUAUUAAUUUAAGAUAUGACGUGAAAUGUUCACUUUUGUCUUUUGUACCUUAAUUCAUUUUGAAUGUAACAAACUCAAAGUGCUUACUUCAAACUAUUAAAAGUAAAAGAAGCCAUUUGCUUUAUCUAAACUUAAGUAUUGUAAAAUCUCCUUAGGAAUCUCCUAAAAAAAUUGGACACCUUCCUUAUUACCAGAAAUCAAUUUGGCGAUCCCAUCGGCAACUUGAUUAUUCUUCCCGGGAACAUACCUAAAAAACCACAAUCUUCCAUUUUUCAAUAUAUGUUUGGUUCUUCUAACCAAGACUAAAUUUGCAUCCGUUGAUUGCCUAUCUUCAAUGACUUUAAUCAUUUUCAUGUUAUCCGUAUGAAUCAACACUCUCUCAAAUCUUCAUUUGUUUAAAAUAGUUAACCAAUCUAGAAUCACAUCCCUUAAGUAAUGGUUAUAACCAAGAAUCUAAUCCCCAACCUAAUUUCACAACACUCUCCCGACCAAUUCAUAUUCCCCAAUUUCAUAUCUUAUUCAUCGAUUAAAUACAUCCAGCUACAAUUGAGUAAAUGAAUAUGCCACCUCAUAUAUUAAACUUAUGUUGUAUCAUUUAAUUGAGUUAAUCUCAUAAAGUUAACAACUUUUUAUCAACUAUUACCAAAAAUAUGAUCUUGUUAAUUUAUCUACCUACAAGGAUCUUUAUGUUUAUUUUUAAAAGUAUAAAAACUAAAUGCAUUCUUCAUUAUGGUACAGGGACCGAUAUAGUAUUUUUACCAAUAAUUCCCUAAUGGAAAAUUGGAAAUUUGCUUGGUAGUAUAUUAAUAAAAUCAAAAAAAAAAAAAGUCAUUUGUGAAUCCAAGGCUUGGUUCAGAAUCGAAUCUCAACAUUGUAUCUCCAUAUUUUUAUUUUUAUUUCUUUGUCCCCCGAUUUAUUUGCAUUUUAGCAUUUGCAGGGACUUCCAUUUUUCAAAUAAUUGUUGGAAACUGAAAAUUGGAUCAAUUAAACUACUAAUAUAUCCUUCUUUCCUUGAUAGUUGAUCCCAAAGCAAAGAUGCUUUUCAACCAAGGUUGACUGCGCUAAAUGUUUUUAAGUUUUAAAAUAUUAUAGUUGAGUCCUUAAAAUAUUAGUAUUACAUCAAUUACGUCCUUAUGCCAAUUUAGCUUAUCAGCAUGGGUUGCAAGGGCAACAUUAGAGGAGGACAAGCAGGGCCAUGGUCCCUCCAAAGUGAAAAAUUGCUCUUUUAUUUCCUUUAAAAACAAUAAAAUUUUAAAUUAAUUUAAUUGUAAAAUUUUAUGACCCUUCUAAAAUUUAAAAUUGAAUUGUUUAUAGUUUAAUUUCUCAAGAUAUUGUAAAAUUUUAUGUUUAUAUAGUGAUAAAUUUACAUUUUAGCUCUCUCAACAAUAUAUAAUCCAAAUUCGGCCCUCCCCCUGGAAAUUAUUUCUAGCUUCGUCAUUGCUUGGUCAAAUUAUAAACAUAUGUUUAACAUCAUCUUUGGUAUGACGUGUAACAAAAAAAAAAGCCCUCUUAAAUUUUAAUGUUAUUUUUUAAAAUACGUCAAAUAUGAACCGAUAUUGAUGGUUAAACCGGCGAAAAGACCUAAUUAAUAUAAUACUAGCAUUUUGAAGAUUAGGUUAAAACAUUUUGAAAUGUAGGACCAAUUUAAAAUCUCAAGAUAAAUUGGGGGAUAGUUUAGUGAAUUGAACAAUUUCGACUAUUCCAAGUUUGCUUUGGUGGUUGGAGCAGGCAGUCCGCAGUAGCAUCUUUGGUUUCAUCAACUGCAAAAUUUGUUGACUAUAUUUAAUUUGUUUGGAAAAUUAAACGCCCACUUUUUACAAGGAGAUUUAUUUAACAGCUAGUCAUAUAUUUGCUUGGUAGCGUAGAAAAUAGGAAACUACAACUUCAUUUUUAUUUUUCAAUUUUAUUCUAAAAUUAUUGACACGUUUGAUUAACUGUAAAAGAAUAGGAUUGUAAUCGGUAAUUCAAUUAUUUGGUUGAAUGAAAUGGAAUAAUAUUCUUGCGUUAGGUUAAUUGGAAUGAAAUAGUAUUCUUGUGUUUGGUUGAAUGGAAUAAAUAUUGUAAUAGCAUAAGAAAAAAUACUGAAAUAAUCAGAGUACCCUUAGCAGAAUUUUUGUAAGGUAGAUAAUUAUGGUUUUUGUUAUUAAAUUUUAAUAGCAUUAUUAUUAAAUAUAAUUUAAUAAUAUUCUUAAUGUAAUACCCAAUUUUAGCCCGGGCUCGCAUAUGGAAACAUAAUUUUUGAGGAUAUGCAAUCUUAGAUAUGAUAUGCAAUCUUAGAUAUGAUAUAUAAUCUUAGAUAUGAUAUGCAAUCUUAGAAUAUAUGAUUUUGUAAUCUUAGAGAUUUAAUUUGUAGAUACCCUUUAAUCUCAGCCGUUGAUGUAAUUGAUCUGUACCGUUGGAUUUGAGGAGGCUCAACUAUAAAUAGAGGUCUCUCCCUUCAUUGUUGAAAGGGAGGAGGAGGAAGAGGAAUAAAAAAAAGAACGAUUGGCAGUUUUUUAAAGGUGGCUUACUAUUUUUUUUCUUCCGAUUAUUUUUUUUACUUAUUUACGAUUUUAAAAAGGGGGAGAAGGUGAUACCACUGCGAAUUUUAUUUAUUUAUUUUAUUUAGCCCCUCCGCCUUUUAAUGUUUUUGUAAUUAAGUUUUUUUUAUUUUUAUUUUUCUUAAUUUACCCUUUUAUUUAUUUUUAUUUCAAUUGGGUCUAAGUUGAACGGCGUUGUUUUAAAGGAGAAGGGAAAAUUUCCCUUCCAGCCCCUCUAUAUAAUUCGUGCGUUCAAAUUAAUCCUUUUACUUUUAUUUAUUUACAGAUUUACCCCUAUUUUUUUACUUCCGACCCAAUUUAGUCCUUUCUCAUAUUUUUCUUAAAAUCAGUAUUUCUAAUUUUUUUUAUGAAAUUAUUAUUAUAUGUAUAUAUAUAAAUAUGUUUCUUUUGCAUGUAUUUACACCUUAAAAAAAACUAAUAUUUUUCGUAUAUUUUAGACACAUAUUUUAUUAAUUUUGAUAUUAUCUUAAUUAUUUUAAACUUAUAUAUUUUCAUGGAUGUAUGUAUAUAUAUAUUUUUUAUUUCAGUUAUUUGUCUAUUAAUUUAUGUUUACAUAUAUUUUUUAUUAUCUUGUCCAUUUAUUUGAUAUUUUGCAGGCCAUUAUUUUACUUAUUUGUUCAUAUAUUUGCAUUAUUUCUAUGCUAUCGUAGUAUUUAUUAUUGCAUUAUAUAUUUAAUGUAGCAUAACAUUACAUUUUUUACUCGAUUUUUAAAAUCAAACUUUUUCAAAAUGGAUAUUCUUUUAAUUAAAAUAAAAACUCAUUAUUGGGAAUUCAACACGUUGUGUCCUAACGUAUUGGAUGUGACGCAUUGAUUUCUCGAAAUGAAGAUUUUUUUUAAAAAUCAUGAAGGAAAUAUUCCGAGUUUGAGAUUCUAAAGGAAUUGUGCCCUAACGUAUUGGGUGUGAUUUCUUAAAUCUUGGAUAAGUGGAUGUUCUUUUAAAGUAAAUGAAAUAUUCCGAGUUUGAGAUUCUAAAGGGAUCGUGCCCUAACGUAUUGGGUGUGAUUUCUUAAAUCUUGGAUGAGUGGAUGUUCUUUUAAAGUUUUAUUGUAUAAGUAUUCUGAUCUAAUUCAUUUUGGGGGAAAUUAGAAUGUUGUGCCCUAACGUAUUGGGUGUGGCAUUUUUGCUUCUCUAAAUUGAAAAGGGUCUUAAUAUGCAACGUUUUAAGUUUUUAAAGAUUAUAUUUUUAAAAUUUUCGACCUUAAGACAUUAAUUAAUUAACUAGGUACCAAUUUUUGGGCGUAAUGAGGGUGCUAAUCCUUCCUCAUGCGUAACCGACUCCCGGACCCGUUAUUCUAAAAUUCGUAUACCAAAGUCGUUUUUAGGUGACCCAAUCACACCUUAAUAAAAGAUUGGUGGCGACUCCCAACUUUCAUUUUCUUUUUUUUUAAGUCGACAACCUAAAAUUUUUUGUUUUAAAAAAAAAAUGGUUUCGACAGCUUGGCGACUCCGCUGGGGAAUUUUUUAAGAGAGUCGAGCCACAAAGUUGAUUAAUUUUUAUCUUAUGGUCGAGAAAAUAUUUUUAAAAAAACUCAUGACAUCCUUUUGCAUUCAUUAUCUUCUUGUUUAAAUAUUGUUUGCAUUAUACAUUUAAUGAGUUGAACAAUGUUACCCUUUUAAAUGGGAGUGAGAAACUAUACCUUCGUGAGGUUUUACCUCCGUGUAGGGUAGUGGAUUGCUUUCGGGAUACAUCCGUACCUAUGUCUUCGUGAGAUUUUUCAUCUCCGUGCAGCCAUAGGGAAAUGUAUUCCCCUGAAUUGAACUCGAUCCAUAUGAGCCUAUAAUGGGUGAGGAUUGGGGAAUCUGCUGGUUCGGGUACCUUUACUCUAGAAGCCAAACUUCAUAUAAUGAACCUUAGGAAUCCACCCUAGGUAGAAUUAUACUAUACCCUAGUAGAUAUCCAAUUAGGGAUCUUUACUAUUUCUUGAUUAUAUCUUGUGUUUCUAUGUUAUACUAACUUUUGGUGUUUUAUUUGCAUGACAUGGCAUUUCAUUUCACGCAUUGCAUUAAUAAAUAUAUCAAGGGAUUCUAAUUAAUCUAAAUUACUCAUCAGUUAAUUUGGAAACCAAUCAAGCUAUCAAACACUGCUACGAAACUCGAUCCAAAACUAGAGACAUGGACCAAAGGCUAGAACAAUUCCAGAAAGAAAUGCAAGAGCAAAUGAAUGAGCAAUUAGAAAAGAUUCAACAAAAGAUGAUGGAAAAGAUAAUGGGAUCUCAAGGGAGUAUGAUGGCUAAGUUGACUCAGUUAUUGGCUGGAGGAGUUGACAAAGGAAAGGGAUUGGUGCUCAACAAUGAAGAAUGUGACAAUGAGGGACUUGUCUAUCCUCCGGACUUUACACCCCAACAAGUUGAGAUAUACCCGCGUAGGUCCUUUGUUACCAUUAAUCCUCCGGGUGAUGCUGCAACGCAAAUGAAUUUCCAGAUGGGAUCAGGCUCUAACCCCGGUGCCAAUUUUGUUAAUCCUGCUAUUCCUGAUUUUGAUGAGACGGUUGGAAAGGAAAAAAUGAAUGAGGAACUAUCAAAACAGCUUGAGGAAAGGUAUAAAUGGUUGGAGGAAAAACUUAAAGUGAUAGAAGGUACUGAGAGCUACCACGGAAUUGAUGCUAGAGAAUUGAGCUUGGUUCCAGGUUUGGUACUUCCUCACAAGUUCAAAACACUAGAGUUCGAGAAGUAUAAUGGAACCAGUGGCCCCGAAGCACAUAUUACUAUGUUCUACAGGAGGAUGACUAGAUAUGUUAAUAAUGACCAGUUGUUGAUACAUUACUUCCAGGAUAGCCUCACGGGGGCAGUAUCCAGGUGGUACAAUCGAUUGAACCGUACCCAAAUUAAUUCAUGGAGAGAUCUAGCACAGGCAUUCUUGAAACAGUACAGCCAUGUGACUGACAUGGUACCUGAUAGAAUUACUCUGCAGAACAUGGAGAAGAAGCCUGGUGAAAGUUUCAGGCAGUACGCACAGAGAUGGAGGGAGGUUGCUGUCCAAGUUCAGCCAUCUCUUCUAGAAAGAGAGAUGACGAUGCUUUUCAUUAAUACAUUGAAAGCCCCAUUCAUCACACAUAUGUUAGGGAGUGCAACAAAAAGCUUUUCUAACAUAAUCAUGAAUGGUGAAAUGAUUGAAAGCGCCAUAAGGAGCGGAAAGAUUGAUACUGGAGGAAAUAACAGAAGGCAAGCCUCAAAAGAAAAGGGAAAUGAGGUAAACAGCGUGAAUACGUACGACAAAUCGAUUGCUAAUCAACAGGGUUCAUCAAGACAAGAAUUAGGUGUGAAGCCAGGUACUGAAAAGCUCCAGUUCACGCCAAUUCCAAUGUCGUACAAGGAGUUGUAUCAAAGCUUAUUCAAUGCGCAUGUUGUUGCUCCUUUACAUGUGAAGCCUCCACAGCCCCCGUAUCCCAAAUGGUAUGAUGCAAGUGCACAAUGUGAUUAUCAUGCAGGAAUUACGGGGCAUUCCAUAGAAAAUUGCAUUACCUUCAAAAAGCUAGUUGAAAAUUUUAUCAACAUGGGUAUUGUCAAGAUAGAUGGUUCAUCUAGUACCCAGUCAUGAUUGAAUAUGAAGGGGUGUCGAGAAGUGUUCACGAUGAAACAACUGAAGAAGAGACCUUGUCAGAUUUUUGCCCUUAUAGACUUAGGAGUGUUUUAAAUAAUUUGACUGCAGAAGAAGCCCCUGUAGUAUUUAGAGAUUACUCAGAGUAAUGUUCAAAACACACUUGUUGCCUUCAGCCUAGAGGCAAUAAGAAUUCCUUUAUGAAAUAGGCUCAUGUCUGAACGUCGUUAAUUUAAUAAAAUACAUCUUUGCAUUUAUUUUUUUAAGCCAAUAUUCUUUUCGAAUAAUUAUACUUUCAUUCUUUCGGAUCUUCUUCCAUAUUAUCAUUUUAUUCAUCCGUAAUUGUACAAAUGAUUAUUCAUACAUUCUUUUGUAUAUUCUUUGGUAUUUACUGUGGGUCCCCAGAUAUCAAUGACAUGAGUGAUGCUGUUACGGACGGAGAAGUUCCUUUUGAGUGGGAUUUGUGUUUAGAGGGAUCUCAUUACUUUAAAGAUGACACAGAUUGUAUCAUAUUUUCAGACUUGCUGAGGAUGGUAGAACAGGAAUGAAAUCUUACUUCAUGAGGGGAGAAUGGAGAUUGUGACUUUAAGAUUGCGUGCUUAACCGAAGAAAUGAAGUAUAACCUUGUUGAGUUACUUCAAAGAGUUCAAAGAUGUCUUCAUAUGGUCAUAUCAGGAUAUGCUUGAGUAAACACCGACAUUGUAAUUGGAACAACAAUACGAUAUCAAGAAUUUACAGUAUGUUCAAGAUUAACAUCAUGAACGAUGCAUUUAGAAUUCUUUGUCGAGGCAAUGCCUUCUCCUUUGGCUCAUCAUGGUUUAGCAUGUCGAAGUCAAGUUGCCAUUUCUCCGUUGUUGGAUUUCAUCCUAAUUGAAGAGGAAGAUCCAAAGUUUUUGUCAUAAUUAAAUUUUGCCCCAAAAGGCUCUAUGAAAGAGAUUUGAUCACAAAGAAGAUCUUACAUUGGUGCUGAUCGAAAGGGAUAACGAGAACUUAUCCAAUCCUAUGAGUUCAGAUUCAAAAAAAAAACAAAAAACAAAAACAAAAACAAAAAAUGAAAGUGAAAGUGAAAGAAAAAAGAAAAGAAAAUGGAGAUGCCAAAGUGAAAACCCGCAAAAGGCACUUUGAGACCAAAGGGGAUUUGAGUUGAAAACCCGAAAAGGGCGGCUCAAAUAUUGAUCAGAAUGGGGCACGAGGUGAUUAGAGCAACUCAAAGUUUAACCAGAUUGGGGCAUGUGGUGAUCUUGUUAUACCUGAAUUAUCAGGAAAAGGUAGGCAACAUCUUGGGGCAUUGGCAGAGUACUGUGGAUCACCUAAACACAUGUCAAACUCAGAAGGAUCUUUAAAAAGUUUGUACAGAGAAGUUCAAGAUGCGAUAUCUGGGGCACCCAAUAUUCAUACUAAAUUUUUUAUUCUUGGAAUACUUCAUUCUUUUCCAAGAUACACAUUCCCAAUCAAUUUCUUUGCUAUCAUUGUUUACUAUUUUUGAUAAUCUAUUCCUUUCGAGCUAUGCUCAGAACCAAUUGUAUUCUCAUCCAUUGUUAUACCCUUUUUGCAAGCAUGUUGCAUUAGAAUAAUGAUUAAUGGACUAAUGAAACUUUCACGAAGGAGGUUUUGCAUAUUACUCUAGGAGUUUCUAAAUAAUACAAUUGCCUGAAACAGGAUUAUUAUUUAGAACGCACCGGGUUUAAAGGUUGGAAAUCUGAAAAGGAACAGUCUAAACUAGGACUUUCUCUUUGGAUUUUGCUGUCAAAAACAUUGGAUGUCGUGUUGAUGACAAAGCCUAAAUCAAACAAGCAAGUAAUGAUCACCAAGAGGUUACCUCGGGGAAGAGAGCCUUUAUUUGCGCAUGAGCCUUUGGUACGAUACCCUGGGAAUGGUGUAAAGGACCAUAAAGAUUUAGAUCAUGUAUCAUUGAAUUGUGAUAGGAAAGGAUUGAGGAAAGCCACGUAUUUUAGUGGGAGAACGAUGGUAUGAAUUUUUGCGCCCUAAUGGAUUAAACUUGGAGGGCAACCUGACUAAAGGUUUCUUCAGAAAAGCCAGUCAAGUAAAAAGGCGUUGUAGCACGUUAGUCACAAAGCCUUAAUAAACUUCGAGUAAUGACAACCUAAGCGGGAUCAUUCUCGGAAAAAUAAAAUUUUGCAUUCAUGCAUUUGAUGCAUUUUGAUCAUGCCAUUCUAAUCAUUAGGCAUAAUUAAGUUCAUUAUACAGGUCAUGCUCCCCAGAGAACAGAUCAGUGAAAGAGCAGAUCUUGUCUUCCUACAUCGACAGCGAAGCAGAUCGAAAACAAAACCUUGCCUUCCUCGUUUGUAGUCGAGCAGAUCGAAGAUGACGGAUUUUACCUCCCUGUGGUUAUAGUGGAGUACAUUGAAGCCAGUAAUUCUACUUCCCUGGGUAGCAGUGGAAUAGAUUGAAGAUUUCAGAUCUUAUCUCCCUAAGCAGUAGUGGAGUAGAUCGAAGAUGGCGGAUUUUACCUCUCUGUGGUUACAGUGGAGUACAUUGAAGCCAGUAAUUCUACUUCCCUGGGCAGCAGUGGAAUAGAUUAAAGAUAGCAGAUCUUACCUUCCUGCAUUGACAGCGAAGCAGAUCGAAGAUGGCGGAUUUUACCUCCCUGUGGUUAUAGUGGAGUACAUUGAAGCCAAUAAUUCUACUUCCCUGGGCAGCAGUGGAAUAGAUUGAAGAUUUCAGAUCUUAUCUCCCUAAGCAGUAGUGGAGCAGAUCGAAGAUGGCAGAUUUUACCUCCUUGUGGUUAUAGUGGAGUACAUUAAAGCCAGUAAUUCUACUUCCCUGGGCAACAGUGGAAUAGAUUGAAGAUUUCAGAUCUUAUCUCCCUAAGCAGUAGUGGAGCAGAUCGAAGAUGACGGAUUUUACCUCCAUGUGGUUAUAGUGGAGUACAUUGAAGCCAGUAAUUCUACUUCCCUGGGUAGCAGUGGAAUAGAUUGAAGAUUUCAGAUAUUAUCUCCCUAAGCAGUAGUGGAGCAGAUUGAAGAUUGCGGAUUUUACCUCCCUGUGGUUACAGUGGAGUACAUUGAAGCUAGUAAUUCUACUUCCCUAGGCAAUAGUGGAAUAGAUUGAAGAUUUCAGAUCUUAUCUCCCUAAGCAGUAGUGGAGUAGAUCGAAUAUGGUGGAUUUUACCUCCCUGUGGUUACAGUGGAGUAUAUUGAAGUCAGUAAUUCUAUCUCCCUGGUCAGCAGUGGAAUAGGUUGAAGAUUGUAAGUCUUAUCUCCCUACAGUUGCAGUGGAAUAGAUUGAAGCACUAGCUCCUAUACUUCUGAAGAUGCAGUAGGAAGGAAUGAGGCUACUUGAAGAAGAAGAGUUUCAUGUUCCAGCAAGACCGGACAAAAUUGGGCAUUUUUAAAGUCUUUGCUCCGUUCCUGUUACACGACAACGAGCAAAUAGGGGCAGCUGUAAUACCCAAUUUUAGCCCGGGCUCGCAUAUGGAAACAUAAUUUUUGAGGAUAUGCAAUCCUAGAUAUGAUAUGCAAUCCUAGAUAUGAUAUGCAAUCUUAGAUAUGAUAUAUAAUCUUAGAUAUGAUAUGUAAUCUUAGAAUAUAUGAUUUUGUAAUCUUAGAGAUUUAAUUUGUAGAUACCCUUUAAUCUCAGCCGUUGAUGUAAUUGAUCUGUACCGUUGGAUUUGAGGAGGCUCAACUAUAAAUAGAGGCCUCUCCCUUCAUUGUUGAAAGGGAGUAGGAGGAAGAGGAAUAAAAAAGAGAACGAUUGGCAGUUUUUUAAAGGUGGCUUACUAUUUUUUUUCUUCCGAUUAUUUUUUUUACUUAUUUACGAUUUUAAAAAGGGGGAGAAGGUGAUACCACUGCGAAUUUUAUUUAUUUAUUUUAUUUAGCCCCUUCGCCUUUUAAUGUUUUUGUAAUUAAGUUUUUUUAUUUUUAUUUUUCUUAAUUUACCCUUUUAUUUAUUUUUAUUUCAAUUGGGUCUAAGUUGAACGGCGUUGUUUUAGAAGAGAAGGGAAAAUUUCCCUUCCAGCCCCUCUAUGUAAUUCGCGCGUUCAAAUUAAUCCUUUUACUUUUAUUUAUUUGCGGAUUUACCCCUAUUUUUUUACUUCUGACCCAAUUUAGUCCUUUCUCAUAUUUUUCUUAAAAUCAGUAUUUCUAAUUUUUUUUAUGAAAUUAUUAUUAUAUGUAUAUAUAUAAAUAUGUUUCUUUUGCAUGUAUUUACACCUUAAAAAAAACUAAUAUUUUUCGUAUAUUUUAGACACAUGUUUUAUUAAUUUUGAUAUUAUGUUAAUUAUUUUAAACUUAUAUAUUUUCAUGGAUGUAUGUAUAUAUAUUUUUAUUUAUUUCAGUUAUUUGUCUAUUAAUUUAUGUUUACAUAUAUUUUUUUAUUAUCUUGUCCAUUUAUUUGAUAUUUUGCAGGCCAUUAUUUUACUUAUUUGUUCAUAUAUUUGCAUUAUUUCUAUGCUAUCGUAGUAUUUAUUAUUGCAUUAUAUAUUUAAUGUAGCAUAACAUUACAUUUUUUACUCGAUUUUUAAAAUCAAACUUUUUCAAAAUGGAUAUUCUUUUAAUUAAAAUAAAAACUCAUUAUUGGGAAUUCAACACGUUGUGUCCUAACGUAUUGGAUGUGACGCAUUGAUUUCUCGAAAUGAAGAUUUUUGUUAAAAAUCAUGAAGGAAAUAUUCCGAAUUUGAGAUUCUAAAGGAAUUGUGCCCUGACGUAUUGGGUGUGAUUUCUUAAAUCUUGGAUAAGUGGAUGUUCUUUUAAAGUAAAGGAAAUAUUCCGAGUUUGGGAUUCUAAAGGGAUCGUGCCCUAACGUAUUGGGUGUGAUUUCUUAAAUCUUGGAUGAGUGGAUGUUCUUUUAAAGUUUUAUUGUAUAAGUAUUCUGAUCUAAUUCAUUUUGGGGGAAAUUAGAAUGUUGUGCCCUAACGUAUUGGGUGUGGCAUUUUUGCUUCUCUAAAUUGAAAAGGGUCUUAAUAUGCAACGUUUUAAGUUUUUAAAGAUUAUAUUUUUUAAAUUUUCGACCUUAAGACAUUAAUUAAUUAACUAGGUACCAAUUUUUGGGCGUAAUGAGGGUGCUAAUCCUUCCUCAUGUGUAACCGACUCCUGGACCCGUUAUUCUAAAAUUCGUAGACUAAAGUCGUUUUUAGGUGACCCAAUCACACCUUAAUAAAAGAUUGGUGGCGACUCCCAACUUUCAUUUUCUUUUUUUUAAGUCGACAACCUAAAAUUUUUUGUUUUCAAAAAAAAAUGGUUUCGACACUUAAUAUGAUUAUUUUUAUAUUAAAUUAUUUUAAAUAUUUUAUUUUUAUAUUUUUUGAGUCCAAGUUUUAAUUAUUAACGUUUAUAUUUUUUUGUUAAUAUAACUUUUUUUAAUUAAAUUUAGCUCUUAAGUUAAAUUUAAUUAUUAAUCUUUUAAAAAAGAGUUAAAUUAAUUUUUUAAUAAAAAUUUUAAAUUUUAAAUACGGCAACUUUCGUAGUAGUCAAAGAGCAUUUCAUGCUUCUUUUUAAUUUUUAUGAAAGUUUUAUAAUAUUUUUGAGUUGAGUUUUUUUUUUGAAUUUUUUAUAAUUUUAAAUUAUUUAUUGGCGUGGUAUAUAAGAUAACUAUUGUCAUGUCAGAUUGUUCACAUGGAUUGGCACGCGGAUUGUCGUCUCAAUUUCAUUAAAAAUUUAAUGUUUUAGUCAACGUAAUUUUAAAGAAAAGUAAUUUAACUCUUUUUAAAGGUUUAAUGCUCAAAUUUAGUUAAAAAAAGUAAGAGUUGAAUUGACAAAAAAUACAAAUAUUGAGGACUAAAUUCGUUAUUAUGCUUUUUUUUAACCAAAGAAUCCUUAUUCAGGGUCAAUAGAAAUGAGAGUUUAGAACUAUUAAUGGGUUGGUUCAGGUUCCAAUUUUUUUUACUGUUGGCAAAUUUAUAAAAUAUUUUAUAUUAAUAUUUAAAAAAUUUUAUAAUAAAUUAAAUUUAAAAAAUAUUUUUUAUUUAAAUUAAAUUUAGGUUAAAUCAAGUUGGCUUGAAAAAUAAAAAUCUACGUUUAAGUCCGAAUCUAGUCAUGUCAGGCCUAUCGGAUUGGGUGAGCUUCCUGACCCAUAAAUAGGUCUAAUGAGAGUUAAUUAAGCUUCGUUCUCUCCAAAUUUUUGAAAAAGAUUUUUAAAACUUAAUAUUUAAUUAAAUUUGCAUGUUGGUUUUAAGAUUUAUACCUUCAUAUAUAUAUGUUUUUUUUUUCAUGAUAAAAUGCCAUGAAAGGCAAGUAAUCUUUUAAGAUUAUUACAUAAAUCCCAUACGUUAAAAGUAAUAAAUUAUGUCAUUAAUUAUAUAUUAUCCAUUUAAAAAGAAAGGUCCUUUGGAUUUUCCUUGGUUCACACGUGAAUUGACUUUCUCUUUUCUUUUUUCUUUUUCUUUUUUGCCGUAUGUAGUAAAAUAGUCAAUUUUAAUAGAAGAUUUUAAUCACCUUAAUAAUUAGAUUUGAAAUUUUAAAUUUUAAAAAUCGAGUGAUUAAAUUUCUAAAAAUAAAAAUAUAAAGAUUAAAUUACAAAUAUACAAAUAGUACAAUAAUUUAACUAUAUUUUUAAUAUUUACUUUAUAAUUUAAUUGAAAAUACUUAAUAGUUAACCGAACAUGAAGUACGAUAAAAUAUGUAUUAGUUAGUAUUAAGGGUUUUUACUUAGACAAUAUAAAAAAAAUACGAAAAUGUGAUAUAUUGUAAAUUAUUUACGAAAAUAACAUAUUUUCUACCAUAAAAUUAUGUGUUUGUCAACCUGUCAGGCACAUCACCUAUAAAAUAUAAUAUUUUAAUAAAAUAAAUAAAAUAAUAAAUUAAAAACAAUACUUUAAUCUAAAAAAGGGCGACGCCAAAAGUCAUGCGAUACCCAUUUUUCUUAUUGACUUUUUACCCUUCUUUUUUAAUUUGGGUUGGUUGUGGUAUGAUUUUGAAUUUCAUACCUCUAUUUUAUGGAAAUUAGAAAUAAGUCUAUUUAUUUUAAUUUAUUAUAAUUUAAUCUUUGUAGGUUUUCGAAUUUGACUAACUUUUUUAAUUCGAAAACUUAAAAAGAUUAAAUUAUGAUAAAUUCAAAUAAUAGUUAAAAUCGAAAAUUUAGAUUAAAUUAUGAUAAAUUAAAAGAAAUGGACAAACUUCUAAUUUUCAUAAAAUAAAAGAUAUAAAAAAAUAUGCCACAAUCACCCUAAAUUAAAAAAAUGAAAAAAAUAGGAAAAGGAGUGCGGCCGGAUAUUUUGGGUCACCCCUUUUUUUAGAUUAAAUUAUUAAUUAUUAAAUUUAUUUUUAUUGAAAUAUUAUUUUUUAUAAGUAAUAAGAUAUUAUUCUCCUAGGUAAUUUACAUAUUUUCGUAAUUAAUUAAGUUUUAUUAAAGACACUUUUCCAGUGUAAGCCCAUUUCUUUAUUCAUGUGUUUACUCCUUGGAAGACAAGUUUCUGACUACAGAAUCCCCAAGUUGCUGACGACCAUGUUUUUGGUCUUUCUCUCCACCAAACGGCAUAUAAUAUGAAUGUGAGUCAGCAGCAUAAACCAUCGUUGAAAAAUGUUCAAUUCAGUUCUCAAACUAUGACUUGCAUUUCAAAUUCAUCUCCAAAGUCCAAAUUUUAAAAACUUGAAUCUACGUAUUAGAAAAAGUAAUUCUCUUAAAAUUUAUUGAUUUUCUUUUUAGAAACACAUUAAAUGUAAGCUAUUCAAUCUAUAGUUACAUAGGUUUUUACAAUUUGAUAAAAAUAUUUUAAAUAUAUCUUAUGUCAUGAAUAAAUAUUUAUUAUUUAAAGUGAUAACUACACAGGCAAAAGAAUCUUAUUGUGAUAAUCUGAGAACCCAGUAACUAUUUGAGGUAUGUGGAUCAAUUUGAAAUUUUAGCACUAAUUUAGGAAUAUUAGUUGAAAUUAAGUCCUUCGAUCUGUCCCCAGUUCCUGCUGAUUAGUAUUUUGUUAUUUGUGGAAAACUGACAAUAAAGUUAAAAACAGACUUUGAUAAUUGAUGCUAUAUUUUAUAUUUUCAGAGUCAAAAAUCACGUCUUUUCCCGAAGGCCACUCCAGUCUCCAACUUCCUUCUUUACAUCUUUUUCUGAGGUUCAGUGCCUUUCCCUUCUGCUCUCUCCGCUUCCAAUCUUGCUCUCCACGCAUUUCUCUUCUCCAAGUAUUUUUCUUGGUCUUUCUUUUUUAGUCUUAUUUAUAUAUAAACACAAAGCCUGAAGCCUUCAAACACUUGAAACCAAUCAAAUCUUUUAUCCGAACACACAAAACCCAAGUUUUUUCUUCAGCCAAAGCUCCAAAAAAGAUGGAACUUUUUGCUUCACAAUCAUCUUUACUACUGAGUUCAGCUACUAGUUUUGAUUUUCUACUAAAACCCAUUUUUCCUCAUGGGUUUUCUGCUUCAUUACACUUAGUUUUGUUGCUUUUAUUGUUAAUCUUAUGGAUGGUGAGCAGGAUUAAAAAAGUUAGUAGGGAAGGUUCAAAGGAACGACAGAUUUUAUGGUAUAAGCAAACAUUAGCUUGUUGUUUUGUUGUUUCAGUUUCCAAUGUUGUCUUGUGUUUGUUAAGUUAUUUUUAUUGGUAUACAAAUGGUUGGUCUGAGGAUAAGUUGGUGAGUCUUAUUGAUUAUGCAUUGAAAAUACUUGCUUGGGGUGCAACAUGUGUUUGCUUGCAAUGUCAAUUCUCCAAUCCUGGUGAACAAAAGAGGUUCCCUGUUGUGUUGAGAAUUUGGUGGGGUUUUUACUUUUCAAUUUCAUGUUAUUGUCUUGUUAUAGACAUUGUUCUCUUCAAAAAACAUGUUUCUUUCCCAACCCAGUAUUUAGUAUCUGAUGUCUUGUCUGUUGUUACUGGUUUGUUUCUAUGCAUUGUUGGGUUCUUUGUAAGAUAUGAGGGUGAAGAUAUCCUCCUUGAGGAACCCCUUUUAAGCGGAGAUUCUAGUGUUAGUAAUUGUGUAGAGUUGAGUAAGGAAAAAGGGGGUGAUACUGUAACCCCAUAUUCAAAUGCUAAUAUUUUCAGCGUUCUUACAUUUUCUUGGAUGGGGCCUCUCAUUGCUGCUGGCAAUAAGAAACCAUUAGACCUUGAGGAUGUUCCUCAGCUAGAUAGCCAUGAUAGUGUUAUUGGGGCUUUUCCAAAAUUUAAAAACAGGCUUGAAUCAGCUGAUAGUGAGGGGAAUGGUGUUACCUCACUUAAGCUGGUGAAGGCACUGUUCUUUUCAGCAUGGAAAGAUAUUCUUUGGACAGCUUUGUUUGCAUUUACUUACACGGUGGCUUCAUAUGUUGGCCCAUACCUCAUCGACACUUUUGUUCAGUAUCUGAAUGGGCAAAGGGAAUUUAAGGCUGAGGGGUAUCUUCUAGUUGCUGCUUUCUUUGUUGCCAAGCUAGUGGAGUGCUUGUCUCAGAGGCGCUGGUUCUUUAAGUUGCAACAAGUUGGACUUAGGCAGAGGGCUGUACUGGUAGCAAUGAUAUAUAACAAGGGGUUAACCCUUUCAUGCCAGUCGAAGCAGAGCCAUACCAGUGGGGAGAUCAUCAAUUUCAUGACUGUUGAUGCAGAAAGGGUGGGUGACUUUAGUUGGUACAUGCAUGAUCCAUGGAAGGUAGUUUUGCAAGUUGCUUUGGCCUUGUUGAUCUUGUAUAAGACCCUGGGGCUUGCAUCCAUUGCCGCUUUCGUUGCUACUGUACUUGUUAUGUUGGCGAAUAUUCCUUUGGGGAAAAUGCUGGAGAAGUUUCAGGAUAAGUUAAUGGAAUCAAAAGAUACAAGGAUGAAGGCAACAUCUGAAAUUUUGAGGAAUAUGAGGAUUCUUAAACUGCAAGGGUGGGAAAUGAAGUUCCUCUCCAGGAUUGUCGGGCUCAGGAGCGUCGAGGAAGGAUGGUUAAAACGAUUCGUUUAUACAAAUGCCAUGACUGCUUUCGUUUUCUGGGUUGCACCAUCCUUUGUGUCUGUAGCCACUUUUGGUGCUUGUAUGUUCUUAGGAGUCCCACUUGAGUCGGGGAAGAUCCUAUCUGCACUCGCAACAUUCAGGAUUCUUCAGGUGCCAAUCUACAACCUUCCUGACACAAUCUCAAUGAUAGUUCAAACAAAGGUGUCACUUGAUCGAAUUGCUGCCUUCCUCCGGCUCGAUGACUUGCAGCCUGAUGCUAUAGAGAAGCUACCCAGUGGUAGUUCCAAUACAGCGAUCGAGAUUGCUGAUGGGA
rnacentral:lncRNA from 1 species